rnacentral:lncRNA from 1 species
UGCAGUCUGGCGUGGUGGCAUAAUGGUGCUCCAAUCUUUGUUGGACAUUCUCGGUUUGUGUUCUUGUUUGCAAUUGUGCAUUGGCAGUUCUGUUUCAUAUAUACAGCACAGAAUCUAUUGGUUCGUGUGUUGGCGUGUAAAAAACCUAGAUUGGCUUGUGAUCUUAGACGCAAUAGUAAAUUAGUAAUGUUUGCAAUCAUAUUAUGAACAUAUUAUACACUUUUCUUCUGAACUGAGUGUAAAGCUGUUAUGUUGAUAAUGGCAAUUGCCAUCCGAUUCUUCACUAUAGUUUGCUGCAAAUGCUAAUGUUGAUGUUCUUGUGCAAUUCGCUUUGUGAAUUUCACACCUCUUUAUGAUGGAUCAAUCUCCAGAAUACUGUGUUUCUAGAUCUUAGAGAUUGCCAUGGCAAUGCAAAGAUGCCAUAAACACAUACAUACUCCUACAUUUCCUGUCUUUCUAGAUGAUAGAUUGCCAUGACAAUGCAAAAGAUGCCACCAACACAGCAAUCCUCUGUUUCUAGAUGGUAGAUUGCCAUGACAAUGCAUAAGAUGCAAUCAAAUCAACACGACAAUCCUGUGUUUCUAGAUGGCAGAUUGGGAUGGCAAUGCAAAAGAUACCAUCAACACAUAUGCUCGUUUACUCUCUUUCUUAAUGGUUUAUAAUGAUUAGACUGCAGCUGAAUGCAUAUUGUUGCUUUCCCUUCAUUUGCCUUUCCUUGACUGAGCAGAGACGCUGGCAGUGCUCCUGUACCCAUCCUGCCCAGCUACGUCUGUAUUGGUUAUUUGUGCAUCGCCUGCAUGGCAUGAUGAUACCCAAGGCCCACUGUUUGUUCAACAUUCUUGCUGUUCUUUGCUUGCAGUUAUGCAUUGGCAAUUCUGUUUAUAUAUAUAAUGUGAGGAAAUAUGAAAACGGAAAUGGAAAUGAAAUUCUUUAUGCGGAAACGGAAACAAAAACGAAAUGGUGUUUUCUGGUGGAACACACGUGGAAACAGAACUUUCCGUUUCCGUUAAUAUGGAAUUUCCGUGUCUACUAUAGGCCCACGGCUGCUUUGUAGCCCAACUACCAAACAACACGCAAUGACACAAUGAGUAGAAUGAGCAAAAUGUAUCAUUUGAGUACCAAUGUUUACUACCACACACAUACUCAGCUAGACCCUAUACGGAAUUGUCAUGUACUACUACAAUACUACCCUAUCUUACCAACAUGACCAUAUUAUUUUGUAGCCAUGUUAACAAUUCCAUCAAUUUGUUUGUAUUUUGUCUGUAUUUCUCCAUGAUUCAAGGGGGCUUUAAGUUCCGGUCAACACACAGUUUUGUUUUCGUGUCCGCUUUGUAUUCGCUUCGGGUUUGUUUCCGGUAGUAUCUGUUUUCGUAUUCGUUUCUGGGGUUUCUGUAUUCGUUUCCGUUUCUACAAAAAAUAUGAAAACAAAUAUGGCAACACCCAGUUCGAUCCGUUUCCGUGCUGUUUUCAUCCCUAUGCAGUAUCUAUUGGUUUGUCUGUUGGCCUGUUUAAAAAAAUUACUCCCUUGGUUCACUAUUAUAAGAUAUUCUAGCUUUUUUUUUCUAUGUAGACACGUUUUAGUGUGUUUGUUCAUUAAUUUUCAGUCUGUAUGUAGUCCAUAUUGAAAUAUCCAAAACAUCUUAUAAUAGUGAAUGAAGGGAGUACUAGAUUGGCUUCUGACCUUCAACUCAUAGUAACAUGUAGUGAACAUAUUCCGCUUUUUAAAAUCUGAAUUGAGUUGGCAAUUAGCAAGGUGGUGGUGUUUAUUUAUGAAAAUGAAGGUGUUAUGUGUUCAUAAUGGUCGUUGCCAUCCGAUUCUUGAUUAGUUUGCUUGCAAAUGCUAAUGUUGACCUUGUGACUUCUGCACCUCUUCACGAUGUAUGAAUCUCCACAAUCCUUUGUGAUGCUUCUAGGAUGUCCAUGCAAACCACCUGUAUAUCUAGAUGCUGGAUUGCCAUGGCAGUUCAAAAGAUACCAUCAACACUGUUCUUGUGUUCUCUUGUACUAGUAUGAUAUGAUUGCUGCAGCUGGACUGCGUAUGUUGCCUUCCUUUCUUUUGCCUCCCUUUGUCGGUGCUAUGGCCUGUAUAAUGAUGUCGCUUCAGUGGAUAUCAUGUUAGUCGCGCCCCGUCGCUGGAGAUCAUGUUGUCCAGAAACUUUGUUGUUAUGAUAAUUGUUGGAAUUUAGAAGGCCCCAUUUGGGAAUAUGGGGUCGUUGAACACACUGGAGUAAUCUGGUGCUUUUCUUUGGGCACAAAUCUCUGUGGCGCUUGAUCCAAACUACUGAAGGAACAUGAGCGUGCUCCUCCCUUUCUGCCUUGGUGGUGCGAUGACAGAGGAUCAUCAGUCAAUUCACCAUGAUGUUCGCAAGCUUCAUGCUGGGAUUUGCAUGAGACAUGAAUUUCUUUUUUUGACGAAAAGGCAGAACCACUGCUUGUCAUUGCAUACAGACGAAAAAAAUGUUACAAAGCAAGAUUACAGAGGGGGAGGGGGGAAUACAAAGCAUCAUAUUAGUCUGGUUCUAGAGGUCUCUUUACUAUUGCCAAGACACCGCUGUCCAUCAUCAACCCAGUCCUGGGCCUCUAACUGAAUUUUUUCGAACAACCUUAUAAUAGAGGUACACAUGUUCCUGAAAAUUCUUUCGUUUCUCUCUUUCCAUAGCAUCCACCAUACGAGGGCCAUGACCGAUCUCCACGACUUCGCCGUCUCCUUCCUUGUUCAUACCUUGAGAAGAGUGUUGCCACCAGUCUAUCAUGUCUUCAUUGCCAUUAAUAUUCAGCCUCCUCCAAUCAUGUCUUCAUUGCCAUUGAUAUUCAGGCUCUGGGGGAGGUCCAGCUUGCUGAUUGCAAGUGCCAAAUCUCCUUGGCGUAGGGGCAAACUGAAAGGAGGUGGGAGGCACUUUCGGGAGAUUGCAAGCACAAGGUGCAUGCGGGAUUAUGUGGCCAACCUCUCUUAGCCAGGUUAUCAGCGGUAAAACACUUUCCUUGAGCCGCGAGCCACACAAAAAAAAUGACAUUUUGGCGGCGCGUCCGAGCUCCAGGUAAGUUUGGCGAAGAGCGACUUGAUCCGUGCCGACAACAUGGCAACAGAAGCAGAAGCAGUCGAGAAAGAAACAUUAGCUGUCCACCGCCAGGUCAAGGAGUCAGGCUGGUCCGGGAUGAGGUGGUUGUGCUGCACAACAUUCCAUAGGCUCGAGAACUGAUCGAUAGAGGCAGUUGAGAGGUUGGCUUUGAGGUGUCUCAUCCAUUUGUCACCCAUUAAAGUGGCCUUGUCACUUCUAGUUUUGAGAGUGCAUUCUUGAACAAAUCUGGGAAUUUUGUGCGGAAGCUUUCCCUAUUAUGCCAAGGGUCGGUCCAGAACUGAGUUAGGCCCACAUCUCCAAUGGAGAAAUCCACCGAAGCCUCAAAGUAAGAACGAACAAAUCUGUCCAUAGGGAGCGACAAGCCGAUCCAAGGUUUUGAAGUGUCCAUCCAGGAGAGCCAUAGCCAUCUACAUCUCAUCGCAAUACUUUUUUGAUUCAAACACGGGAUACCAAGGCCACCAAGUUGUUUUUGGGGAGACAUACCUGCUUCUAAUUCACCAUGCCUCCAGUUGUAGUAUCCUUGUCCACCCACAAGAAACCACGACAACACUUAUCAAAUUUCUUGACAGCCCAACCAGGCGGGUCAAUGGCCAUGAUCUGAAAUAAUGGAAGUGCAUAAAGCACCGAGGUGACAAGAGACAGCCUCCCAGCCAUGGGCAAGUUGAGCUUGUUUCCACCCGGAAGUGUUGCGGUGGAGUUUAUAAAAAAACCGGCUGGUAAUGCACUCUUUGCAGGCGAGAAUAGCUAAGAGGCAUGCCCAGGUAAGUGACGGGAAAUUCCUUGACUGGGCAGCGCAGGAGUGCAACAAGCUCUAGGAGAUUGAUGUCAUCAUCACAACGAAUGUGGCAGAAGCUGUUCUUGAGAAAGUUUGUCCUUAGGCAGCUUGCAUUGUCGAAGGCAUCUAGAAUAGGUUUAGCCGCAGUGAUCUCACGGGUAGUUGGCCUGACAAACAUCAUCACAUCGUCUGCACAUAAUUAGAUUCCGAGGUUAGGUAUGCAGCGGCCAAAAGGGGCCAGCAUGCCAGCUUGCACCAUUGUAUGCACCAUUACAUCAAGCAAGUCCAUGACAAGGAUGAAAAGCAGCGGUGAAAGUGGGUCACGCUGCCUAAGGCCCUUGCGAUGAACAAUUUUCUUAGAAAGCUCGCCAUUGACAAGAACCCGAGUGGAAGAAGAAGCAAGCAUCACAACAAUCUAGUUUCUCCACUUUUGUCCAAAACCUUUCGCAAUGAGGACCUCAACCAGGAACUACCAAGAGACACUAUCAAACGCCUUUUCAAUAUCCAGUUUCAACAUCAUGGAAGGGAUUUUCUUCAGGUAUAGCGAUCCGACCAUUCCUUUAACAAAGACAAAAUUGUGUUGGAUUGCUCUGCCCUUGAUGAAUGCACUCUACGAAGGAAGCUCUAGGUUUUUCAUCAUUGUUGCAAUCUUCUUGCAAAGACCUUUAUGAUAAUCUUCGCAGAAAAGGAGAGCAGGCUAAUAGGCCUAUAGUCUUUAGCUUCUUCCACAUCUGCUCCCUUGGCGAUGAGAAUGAUGAUUGCAUUGUUAAGACUAGCAAGGUUUCAGACGUUGCAACACUCAAAAGACUUGCUCACCAGCAUGACAUCCCCUUUUACAAUGUCCAACACUUUUGGAAGAACAGUGUCAUGAAUCCAUCAGGCCCAUGGGCUUUUCUUGGGUUUAGGUCCAUAAUUGCAACCUUAACCUCCUGCUCAGUGAAGGGGCACUCCAGCCUAGAGAGAUCUUUUUGGUUUAUGCCCAAUUCAGAGAAAUUCUUACACCAACCCCUCUAUUUCUUAGUUCCAAGGGUCAAGGAGAAAUGCUCCCAGAUAGCUUGCAACUUUUCAUCAUGGCUAGUCACCACCGUACCAUUAUGCUUAAUACUAAGGAAAAAAUUCAGUGCUCGCAUCACCGUCUUUCAACCAAUCAAUUCUGGCCCUUUUCCGCCAAUGAGCUCGCUGGAUCGCUGCAAUGCCUAGAAGAUUCAUUUUCAGGGAUGCUCGAAGUCGAAGCUCAUUGCUAGUGAGAUCUCUUUCUUCCAUAGCCCCAUCCAACUGUUGGGAAACGUAGCAUGCAAUUUCAAAAAAAUUCCUACGCUCACGCAAGAUCUAUCUAGGAGAUGCAUAGCAACGAAAGGGGGAGAGUGUGUCCACGUACCCUCAUAGACCGAAAGCGGAAGCGUUUGACAACGCGGUUGAUGUAGUCAAACUUCUUCUUGUUUCAACCGAUCAAGCACCGAAACGUACGACACCUCCGAGUUCUGCACACGUUCAGCUCGAUGAUGUCCCUCGAACUCUUGAUCCAGCAAAGUGUCGAGGGAGAUUUCCGUCAGCACGAAGGCGUGGUAACGGUGAUGGUGAAGUGAUCCACGCAGGGCUUCGCCUAAGCACUACAAAGAUAUGACCGGAGGUGUAAUCUGUGGAGGGAGGCGCCGCACAUGGCUAACAGAUGUUGUUGUGUGUUCUAGGCGCCUCUUCCUCGCAUAUAUAUAGGUUGGAGGGAGAGGGAGCAGCUAAGGAGGCACCCAAGUAGGAGGAAUCCUACUUGGGGCCCUAGUCCUAUUCGCCCCCCUUACCAUAAUUUCCGGAGGGGGAAAGAAGGAGGAGGGAGGAGGGAAGGAAAUGGGAGGCCGAAUCCCUCCCCUUCCUUUCUCUCUUCCCCUCUUUCCUUCCCCUCCAGGUCCGACCUAUAUGGGGGGCGCAAAAGCCCAUGCUGGCUGAUGCGUUUCCCCUCUUGGCCCAUUAGGCCCAUAUAGUUGCUGGGGGGGGGGGGGUGCCUGGAACCCGUUCCGGUGACCCGAUAUGUACCCGGUACCCCCAAAAUACUUCCGGUGUCCAAAUAUCAUUGUCCUAUAUAUGAAUAUUUAUCUCUCGAUCAUUUCGAGACUCCUCGUCAUGUCUGUGAUCUCAUCCGGGACUCCGAACAACAUUUGGUCACCAAAUCAGAUAACUCAUAUAAUACAAAAUCGUCAUUGAACAUUAAUCGUGCGGACCCUACGGGUUCGAGAACUAUGUAGACAUGACCGAGACACCUCUCCGGUCAAUAACCAAUAGCGGAACCUGGAUGCUCAUAUUGGUUCCCACAUAUUCUACGAAGAUCUUUAUCGGUCGUAUCAUAAUGACAACAUACGUUAUUCCCUUUGUCAUCAGUAUGUUACUUGCUCGAGAUUCGAUCGUCGGUAUCUUCAUAUCUAGUUCAAUCUUGUUACCGGCAAGUCUCUUUACACGUUCCGCAAUACAUCAUCCCGCAACUAACUCAUUAGUCACAUUGCUUGCAAGGCUUAUUAUGAUGUCCAUUACCGAGAGGGCCCAGAGAUACCUCUCCGAUACUCGGAGUGACAAAUCCAAAUCUCGAUCUAUGCCAACCCAACAAACACCUUCGGAGAUACCUGUAGAGCAUCUUUAUAAUCACCCACUUACGUUGUGACGUUUGAUAGCACACAAGGUAUUCCUCCGGUAUCCGGGAGUUGCAUAAUCUCAUAGUCAAAGGAAUAUGUAUUUGACAUGAAGAAAGCAGUAGCAAUAAAACUGAACGAUCAAUAUGCUAAGCUAACAGAUGGGUCUUGUCCAUCACAACAUUCUCCUAAUGAUGUGAUCCCGUUCAUCAAAUGACAACACAUGUCUAUGGUUAGGAAACUUAACCAUCUUUGAUUAACGAGCUAGUCUAUUAGAUGCUUACUAGGGACAUGGUGUUUUGUCUAUGUAUCCACACAUAUAUCAAGUUUUCGGUUAAUACAAUUCUAGCAUGAAUAAUAAACAUUUAUCAUGAUAUAAGGAAAUAUAAAAUAACAACUUUAUUAUUGCCUCUGGGCAUAUUUUCUUUAGUCUCCCACUUGCACUAGAGUCAAUAAUCUAGUUCACAUCGCCAUGUGAUUUAACUCCAAUAGUUCACAUCUUUAUGUGAUUAACACCUGUCGGUGUCAAAACCGGCGGAUCUCGGGUAGGGGGUCCCGAACUGUGCGUCUAAGGUGGAUGGUAACAUGAGGCAGGGGCAGGGGACACGAUGUUUACCCAGGUUCGGGCCCUCUCGAUGGAGGUAAUACCCUACGUCCUGCUUGAUUGAUCUUGAUGAUAUGAGUAUUACAAGAGUUGAUCUACCACGAGAUCGUAGAGGCUAAACCCUAGGAGAAGCCCUGCCUAUGGUAUGAUUGUAUGUUGUCCUAUGGACUAAACCCUCCGGUUUAUAUAGACACCGGAGGGGGCUAGGGUUACACAAAGUCGGUUACAAGGGAGGAGAUCUACAUAUCUGUAUUGCCAAGCUUGCCUUCCACGCCAAGGAGAGUCCCAUCCGGACACGGGACGAAGUCUUCAAUCUUGUAUCUCCAUAGUCCAACAGUCCGGCCAAAGGAUAUAGUCCGGCUGUACGGAGACCCCCUAAUCUAGGACUCCCUUAGUAGCCCCUGAACCAGGCUUCAAUGACGAUGAGUCCGGCCCGCAGAUUUGUCUUCGGCAUUGCAAGAUGGGUUCCUCCUCUGAAUACUCCAUAGAAGAUUUUGAACACAAGGAUGGUGUCCGGCUCUGCAAAACAAGUUCCACAUACCACCGUACAGAGAAUAAUAUUUCCACAAAUCUAAUCUGCUGACACGUUUAGCAAGAUGACAUCAUGCCAUGGCCCGGUCAUUAUUCGAACCGUUUUUCUUCAACCAGCACCACAUAUCGCGAGGCGGUUUCCUUGACACGUCUUGUCGAAGCAGAGAUCGUGUCCCCUUAUCGCGGGAUUCUCAUCAAUACGGGUACGGGUAACCCAACCGUGCUAUCAAUUACGGCGUUCGGGGAAUAAGCGAUUUUACUAGGUAAGUGGGGAGGCACACCGCCUCUUCCGCCCUUAUAAAGGGGACAAAGAUUCACCCUUUUUACCCACGCCUUCUUCCUUCUUGCUUAUCCAUUCUCGCACACUCAAGCUCUAGCGCCCAAGUUUGCGUCUUUCUCCUCAAACCACUCCAAGCAUGUCCGGAGCGGGAGGCAAGUGGAUGGUCUCCUCCGUCACGGAGGAGAACAUCACAAAGCUACGGGAAGCCGGAUAUCUGGCCGCGGAUAUCGUGCACCGGCUGCCAGAUGCGGGGCAGAUCAUCCCUACGCCCGAAUCCCAUGAGAGGGUAGUUUUCUUACCCACUUUGUCCGCGGACUGGGAUUUCCCCUUCACCCGUUUGUCCGCGGGCUCAUGUUCUACUACGGGCUGGAUUUUCAUGAUCUUGCCCCCAAUUUCAUCCUCAACAUCUCGGCGUUUAUCGUCGUGUGCGAGGCCUUCCUCCGCAUCAGGCCCCACUUCGGCCUGUGGCUGAAGACCUUCAAUGUCAAACCGAAGGUGGUGGUCGGCCAGCAAGCAGAGUGCGGAGGCGCCAUGGUGGGCAAAAUGCCUAACAUCACCUGGCUCGAAGGCUCCUAUGUGGAGACCAUAAAGGGGUGGAAAUUGGGGUGGUUCUACAUCACCGAGCCGCGUGACACCAACUGGGUGGCGGCCCCCAAAUUUUGAUCCGGAAUCCCCACACGGCUCACUUCCUGGAAAGAGAAGGGCCUGUCCUGGGGUUCCUCGGUAGAGCUGACCGGACUCCAGACCUGCAUCAGGAACAUGAUGAGCAAGAAAAUCAAGCUCGUCAACGUGGUCCAGGUCAUGCUCUUCCGCCGGAUCCUCCCGUGUCAACGAUGGGCAUUCAAUUUGUGGGAGUUCGACCUGGCCAAGCACCAGACGCUGCGAGAGCUCUUCGACACGAUGCACAAGGACGUCUGGAAGGUGCUGUUCAAGGGCGCCGAGGUACCUCCUCCCCUUACCGAGGACCGCGGACUCAGCCUAAAGCGCCAUGACAAUCCGGUAAGUUUUUAUAUCUCACAGGAUAUUUAUUUGCCCCAGUUUAAUGAUGUGCGGGAUCUAAGCUUCCAUGCAAUUAAUAGGACUGGGUAGAGACAGUGGAGCAGCUCGAUUGCCCAGCCCCCCUGCCUGAAGAUCCUGCAGAUGCUCUCCUAACGGAGAUGCUGGUUCCGGCGCCUUACGAGGUGCCGGUGAAGAAGGCCCAAAAGAAGGCCACAUGGACCCGAAAGGGUCUCCGGCGCAAGGUUAUGUCAGACUCAUCGUCCGAUAACUCCGAAGUGCACUCGUCCCAUGAAAACGAGGAGGAAGAGAAAAGUUCUCCCCCCAGCCGAGGGAGAUAAUAAAAGGGAACCCGCCCCAACUGGGGAGGCCGAAGGGUCCAAGAAGGGAAGGACCCUCCUUCCGGACUGCUCCACGACGGCCGCCUACAACGAUUGGUUACCCUGGGACAAGCCCCUGGUGAAGUCGUAAGUAUCCGGAUACCAUAGUAAUUCAUGGUGUGUUUUAUCGCACUACUUCUCCUUACGCCGAAUAUGAUUAUGCAGUCCGUCCCGAGCCCGUCUCGACGUAUCUUCGUCGGAUGGUUCUUUGGACUCGUCGGAUAUGAAUAGCGAUUCACCUCCGACCGCCUCCACCCCUUGCCCUACGGACAACGUCGAGGUGUUGUCUCAAAAGGCACCGAGCCGAGGGGAGGUAGUCCUGGGGGCGCCUCGAGGCGACCUUCCGGAUCCUGGGCGCAGAGGGAGCAAGAUCCCCACGGGCUCCAAGUUCGGCCCCCAGCCAAACACUGCACCAGAACGUCCAGUGGUUCCGGGCUCCGGCAGGCGAUCCCCUGUUAAGGGGGGCAAGCCGCCCGUGCCGGUGGCCUCUGUCCAUCCAGAGGCACCGGACAACUUGCUGGAAGCGCUUCGCGGCGCUUCCAUCGAUGAAGAGCACCACACUAUCAUGAGUGCGGUGACCGAGAAAGUUCAGUCCACCAAAAAACGGACUAACCGAAGCUUGUGCCAGCCUCCUAACAGGCUUUCAGGCAAGUGAUCAAAAUAUAGGAAAAUAUUACGAUCAAAAUAUAGGAAAAUAUUACCGCAUAGAUAGUAGCCCUUGAUGCUCUGUUUGGCGUUCGCGUAGAAAGGCCGAAUAGAGGAUCAAAUAAUGACUCAGGAGUCUAAUCAGAAUAUGUCUAUGUGCAUGUGCAGGCUUCACUGCUGGCCGCUGCUGCACGUACUGCGGAGGUCGCUGCACUGAAGCAGAACCUGGGGCGGUUCGAGGACGAGCUCGGUCUUACCAAGAGGCAACUCGAGGAGAGCAAAGGUAAGCAAUACCUUGUCUAUACAUUAAAAAGAAGUUCGGUUGUGAAGUAAUAGGAUCAUCAUGAAUUUGCCAGGGGCCACGACCGAGAUGGCGACCCUAAAGAGGGCGCUGUCUGAGGCCGAAGACAAAGCGGCCAAGGAGCGCAUUGAGCAGGAAAAGCAAGAAGCCCGGGUAGGCGAGGUGCAGCAAGAGCUCGAGGCUCUCGCCAAAAAACACAAGUCCUUGGAGCUUGACUCUAAGACGCGAGAGUCCGAGCUUGCGAAGGCGCUCGAAAGCGCACGGAGCACCAAGGCUGAAGCCCACAAGUCCCUCCAGGAGAUUGAUGCGGUGAAGAAGAUAGCAGCGGAUAAGGCAUUCAUUAUGCAAAGCAAGCAUGUGAAGGAAACUUUCCUUUUACUUACCCGAGUUCGGAGCUCUCCAGGAGCGUUCGCAGAUCUUCCCCGCAGUGUACUAGAUGCCACGGAGUUUUACCGAGCUGAGGAGGGGAGCUCGACGGAAAAGUUGUUCUGGUCUCAGUAUACUGGGACCGAACACCCAAUGCCCUUGAGCGAUCAGGUGAAGCAACUGGUCGAGCUUCACAAGGCAACCGAACAGGCCAUGAAGGGUCUUAUAGUCCGGAUGUGGCCUGGCGAUCCCCUUCCUAGCAGCUACUUUGGUCUAGUGAGGCGGCUUGUGGAUGCCUGCCCAUGGCUUGAAGUCAUAAAGCGGUCCGUCUGCAUCGAGGGUGCACGCAGGGCUUUUGCCCGGGCGAAGGUGCACUGGGCGAAGCUGGACGCCGUGAAGCUGGUGAAGGAGGGGCCAUCAGAGGGCAAGGAGCAUCGCUGCCCCGAAAUGUAUUAUGACAGUGUCCUGAAGGGUUCCCGCCUUGUGGCGGAGGAAUGUGCUAGAGAUGUAAUUUUUGAAUGAACAUACUCAUGUGAUCCUGUAAUGUGAAACGAGUUCAUUUGCGCUAUGCAACGCUUUUUGAAUUUAAAAUAUUACCUUCUAUGUGGCCGUUUAUAAAAUCUGAGAGUUGUCCAGUCGUCGGCUUCUGCCCCCAUGUAACUAGUACUGGGGUGUUCGGGAUAAACCUGAGCACUCUUUAUCCCAAUUUUGGGUCCUUCGAGGGAGGUGUUCAGCACAACGAACCAGGAAAUCGGACUAUAAGGCUUCAUCACUCUCACUUAGCCAUAGAAGUCUACAAUUUUAAAUUUUGGCGAAGCCCCUAGUAUUCGGAAGGCCAAAUUUGGGGCGCUAUAUACUCCUAAGUCGGGCAAGGCCAACUCCUCGCCCGAAGCGGAAAAAGUCUUUAAGGACUUGAGACCUCUCGAACAGCAACCAGCUCUCUCCUUAUCAUGACAGUCAGUUUCCGGCUUUCUCUACUGAGGUGCUCGUCCGAAAGAACCGGGACACAAUCGCAGUAGUUCUCCCAGCGCUACCUUAGCCGAUAUAGCAGAACAUAAGAUAGCAAAACAUGGGAGCCGGGCAAACCCAACUAUUGACCCAAGACAUGAUUCGGAGCUGAUGCAUAUAAUGUUAUAAGUUCGGGGUGCCGCACUGUCAAAAGUGUUCGGAGUUCUCACGCCGUAUUAUGGGGUGAACGAAAGCCCCUGGCGUACUGACCGUACCAGAAUGUACGGGUGCAAGUUGUUGUAAAUGAACAUAUAAGGAAAAAAGGGAUGGAUAAUGCAAUAAUAGACUAAUGCUAUGCAUUGUUAUUUAAAUAAUACGUCGAAGCGUACUGAUACAAGUAGUGUAAUAAGCAAAAAUAGUACUAUUUGACAUGUCCUAUCCAAGGGCAAGCUGCGUAUGGAUAGUAAAAAGCGGGUAUAUCGAUUGUUAUUAGAGACCACCUGGGGGUUCCCUUGUACGUCUUAGCUUCUUGCCUUGGGUGUUCCUUCCCAUAAUGUGUCCGGCAAUCAUACUGCCAGAAAGGGCUGCUAGAGAGUAAGGUCCUGAAAGAGAAAAAUGAUAAAGGUAUGCAGCCCCUAGGGCGGUUAAGCCGCAUUGCGGGACGUGCCCUGGUCGUGCCCCCGCCUAUGGUCAUGGUAUUUUCAGUGCGUAAUUAUGUACACGCGGCAUGGAUUUCAUCGCUUGACUGGGACUGGGACGGGGGCCAAAUUGCUAGGCGAGCUCUGAACGUGCCAGGCGAUCCUGUUGCAGUUUACUCUGGACUCGCUUGACGGUGUCCGGGGGCUGUAUCGCCGAAUUGGUGGUUUGCCUUAAAAGGCUGCUUUGUGCUUCUGCUGCGAGGGCCGCCGUGUGCUCUUCCGUGCGAAGCGAGCGUUCUGUGUUUCCAUUGACUGUUAUGACCCCCUAGGUCCUGGCAUCUUGAGCUUGAGGUAUGCGUAAUGCGGUACCACAUUGAAUUUUGCAAAUGCGGUUCGCCCGAGCAGUGCGUGAUAGCCACUAUGGAACGGGACGAUAUCGAAGAUUAAUUCCUCGCUUUGGAAGUUGUCCGGAGAUCCGAAGACCACUUCUAGUGUGAUUAAGCCCGUGCAAUGGGCCUCUACACCUGGGAUGAUGCCCUUAAAGGUGGUUUUGGUGGGUUUGAUCCUCGGGGGAUGUAUACCCAUUUUGCGCACUGUAUCCUAAUAGAGCAGGUUCAGGCUUCUACUGCCGUCCAUAAGGACUCGAGUGAGGUGAAAUCCAUCGAUGAUGGGGUCUAGGACCAGUGCGGUGGAUCCGCCAUGACGGAUGCUAGUGGGGUGGUCCCUGUGAUCGAAGGUGAUCGGACAAGCGGACCAUGGGUUGAACUUUGGGGCGACGGGCUCCAUCGCAUAGACGUCCCUUAGUGCAUGCUUCCGUUCCCUCUUGGGAAUGUGAGUUGUGUAUAUCAUGUUCACUGUCUUCACUUGUGGGGGGAACCUCUUCUGUCCUCCCGUGUUCGGCGGCCCGGGCUCCUCCUCGCCAUCACUAUGCAGCCGCUUGUCCUUGUUUUCGGCAUUCAACCUGCCGGCCUGUUUGAACACCCAUCAUUCUCUGUUAGUGUGAUUGGCUGGCUUAUCGGGGGUGCCGUGGAUUUGACACGAGCGAUCAAGUAUGCGAUUCAAACUGGACGGGCCCAGAGUACUUCUUUUGAAUGCCUUUUUCCGCUGACCGGAUCUAGAGCCUCUGAAUCCGGCGUUUAAUGCCGUAUCAUCAGUGUUAUCGCCGUUGUUGCGGCGCUUUUGUCUGUUACGACGUGGUCUGCCGUUGGCAUCUUUGGUAUCCGAAGUGCCCGGAUUCCUUGAUGUGUUGUUGCUGCGAGCCAGCCAGCUAUCCUCGCCCGCGCAAAAGCGGGUCAUAUGUGUCAUGAGGGCUGCCAUAGACUUCGGCUUCUCCUGGCCGACUGUUGGAAAUAUGCCCUAGAGGCAAUAAUAAAAGUAUUAUUAUAUUUCAUUGUUCAUGAUAAUUGUCUUGUAUUCAUGCUAUAACUGUGUUAUCCGGAAAUCGUAAUACACGUGUGAAUACUUAGACCACACUAUGUCCCUGGUAAGCCUCUAGUUGACCAGCUCGUUGUGAUCAACAGAUAGUCAUGGUUUCCUGACUAUGGACAUUGGAUGUCGUUGAUAACGGGAUCACAUCAUUAGGAGAAUGAUGUGAUGGACAAGACCCAAUCCUAAGCAUAGCAUAAAAGAUCGUGUAGUUCGUUUUGCUAGAGCUUUGCAAGUGUCAAGUAUCUCUUCCUUCGACCAUGAGAUCGUGUAACUCCCGGAUACCGUAAGAGUGCCUUGGGUGUAUCAAACGUCACAACGUAACUGGGUGACUAUAAAGGUGCAUUACAGGUAUCUCCGAAAGUAGCUGUUGGGUUGACACGGAUCGAGACUGGGAUUUGUCACUCCGUAUGACGGAGAGGUAUCUCUGGGCCCACUCGGUAAUGCGUCAUCAUAUUGAGCUCAAUGUGACCAAGGUGUUGGACACGGGAUCAUGCAUUACGGUACGAGUAAAGUGACUUGCCGGUAACGAGACUGAACAAGGUAUUGGGAUACCGACGAUUGAGUCUCGGGCAAGUAACGUACCGAUUGACAAAGGGAAUUGCAUACAGGGUUUGAUCGAAUCCUCGACAUAGUGGUUCAUCCGAUGACAACAUCGAGGAGCAUGUGGGAGCCAUCAUGGGUAUCCAGAUCCCGCUGAUGGUUAUUGACUGAGAGCGUCUCGGUCAUGUCUGCAUGUCUCCCGAACCCGUAGGGUCUACACACUUAAGGUUCGGUGACGCUAGGGUUAUGAAGAUAUGGAUAUGCAGAAACCCGAAUGUUGUUCGGAGUCCCGGAUGAGAUCCCGGACGUCACGAGGAGUUCCGGAAUGGUCCGGAGGUAAAGAAUUAUAUAUAGGAAGUGCUAUUUCGGGCAUCGGGACAAGUUUCGGGGUUAUCGGUAUUGUACCGGGACCACCGGAAGGGUCCCGGGGGUCCACCGGGUGGGGCCACCUGUCCCGGGGGGCCACAUGGUCUGUAGGGGGUGCGCCUUGGCCAUCAUGGGCCAAGGGCACCAGCCCCUAUAGGCCCAUGCGCCUAGGGUUUCCCCCUAGGAGGAGUCCUAGUGGUGGAAGGCACCCCUAGGUGCCUUGGGGGGGAGGAAAACCUCCCCUAGGCCGCCGCCCCCCUAGUAGAUCUCAUCUACUAGGGCCGGCGCCCCCCUGGCACCCCUAUAUAUAGUGGGGGAGAGGAGGGACUUCAUACACCAGCCCCUGGCGCCUCCACCUCCCCCCGUUACGCCUCUCCCUCGUAGUCUCGGCGAAGCCCUGCUGCUGUGACGCCCUGCAUCCACCACCACGCCGUCGUGCUGCUGGAUCUUCAUCAACCUCUCCUUCCCCCUUGCUGGAUCAAGAAGGAGGAGACGUCUCCCGUCCCGUACGUGUGUUGAACGCGGAGGUGCCGUCCGUUCGGCGCUGGUCAUCGGUGAUUUGGAUCACGUCGAGUACGACUACAUCAUCACCUUGCAAGCUUCCGCACGCGAUCUACAAGUGGUAUGUAGAUGCAAACUCUCUCCCUAGACUCGUUGCUUAGAUGAACUCAUAGAUGGAUCUUGGUGAAACCGUAGGAAAAUUUUUAAUUUUCUGCAACGUUCCCCAACAGUGGCAUCAUGAGCUAGGUCUAUGCGUAGUUCUCUUUGCACGAGUAGAACACAACUUUGUUGUGGGCGUGGAUUUUGUCAUCUUACUUGCCUCUACUAGUCUUUUCUUGCUCAACGGUAUUGUGGGAUGAAGCGGCCCGGACCAACCUUACACGUACACUUACGUGAGACCGGUUCCACCGAUUGACAUGCACAUGUUGCAUAAGGUGGCUGGCGGGUGUCUGUCUCUCCCACCUUAGUUGGAGCGGAAUCGAUGAACAGGGCCCUUAUGAAGGGUAAAUAGAAGUUGACAAAAUCACGUUGUGGUGAUUCGUAGGUAAGAAAACGUUCUUGCUAGAACCCAAUUGCAGCCACGUAAAAGAUGCAACAACAAUUAGAGGACGUCUAACUUGUUUUUGCAGCGAUUGAUCAUGUGAUGUGAUAUGGCCAGAAGUUGUGAUGAAUGAUGAAUUGUGAUGUAUGAGAUCAUGUUCUUUGUAAUAGGAUUCACGACUUGCAUGUCGAUGAGUAUGACAACCGGCAGGAGCCAUAGGAGUUGUCAUUAUUUUUUGUAUGACCUGCGUGUCAUUGAAUAACGUCAUGUAAACUACUUUACUUUAUUGCUAAACGUUAGUCAUAGAAGUAGAAGUAGUCGUUGGCAUGACAACUUCAUGAAGACACGAUGAUGGAGAUCAUGAUGAUGGAGAUCAUGGUGUCAAGCCGGUGACAAGAUGAUCAUGGAGCCCCGAAGAUGAAGAUCAAUGGAGCUAUAUGAUAUUGGCCAUAUCAUGUCACAACUAUAUAAUUGCAUGUGAUGUUUAUUAUGUAUUAUGCAUCUUGUUUACUUAGGACGACGGUAGUAAAUAAGAUGAUCCCUUAUAAAAUUUCAAGAAGUGUUCUCCCCUAACUGUGCACCGUUGCUACAGUUCGUCGUUUCUAAGCACCACGUGAUGAUCGGGUGUGAUGGAUUCUUACGUUCACAUACAACGAGUGUAAGACAGUUUUACACAGCGAAAACACUUAGGGUUAACUUGACGAGCCUAGCAUGUGCAGACAUGGCCUCGGAACACGGAGACCGAAAGGUCGAACACGAGUCGUAUGGAAGAUACGAUCAACAUGAAAAUGUUCACCGACGAUGACUAGUCCGUCUCACGUGAUGAUCGGACACGGGCUAGUCGACUCGGAUCGUGUAACACUUAGAUGACUAAAGGGAUGUCUAAUCUAAGUGGGAGUUCAUAAUUUGAUUAGAACUUUAUUAUCAUGAACUUAGUCUAAAACCUUUGCAAAUAUGUCUUGUAGAUCAAUGGCCAACGCUAAUGUCAACAUGAACUUCAACGCGUUCCUAGAGAAAACCAAGCUGAAAGAUGAUGGCAGCAACUAUACGGACUGGGUCCGGAACCUGAGGAUCAUCCUCAUAGCUGUCAGGAAACAAUAUGUCCUAGAAGGACCGCUAGGUGACGCUCCCGUCCCAGAGAACCAAGACAUUAUGAAUGCUUGGCAGUCUCGCGCUGAUGAUUACUCCCUCGUUCAGUGCGGCAUGCUUUACAGCUUAGAACCGGGGCUCCAAAAGCGUUUUGAGCAUCACGGAGCAUAUGAGAUGUUCGAAGAGCUGAAACUAGUUUUCCAAGCUCAUGCCCGGGUCGAGAGAUAUGAUGUCUCCGACAAGUUCUACAGUUGUAAGAUGGAGGAAAACAGUUCUGUCAGUGAGCACAUCCUGAAGAUGUCUGGGUUGCACAACCGUAUGACCCAGCUAAACAUUAACCUCCCAGAUGAGGCGGUCAUUGACAGAAUCCUCCAGUCGCUCCCACCAAGCUACAAGAGCUUUGUGAUGAACUACAACAUGCAGGGAAUGGAAAAGACCAUUCCUGAAGUGUUCUCGAUGCUGAAGUCAGCAGAGGCUGAAAUCAAGAAAGAACAUCAAGUGUUGAUGGUCAAUAAGACCACUAAGUUCAAGAAGGGCAAAGGUAAGAAGAACUUCAAGAAGGACGGCAAAGAUGUUGCCGCGCCUGGUAAGCCAGUUACCGGGAAGAAGUCAAAGAAUGGACCCAAGCCUGAGACUGAGUGCUUUUAUUGCAAGGGGAAGGGUCACUGGAAGCGGAACUGCCCCAAAUACUUAGCGGAUAAGAAGGCCGGCAACACCAAAGGUAUAUUUGAUAUACAUGUGAUUGAUGUGUACCUUACCAGUAAUCGUAGUAACUCCUGGGUAUUUGAUACCGGUGCCGUUGCUCAUAUUUGUAACUCACAGCAGGAGCUGCGGAAUAAACGGAGACUGGCAAAGGACGAGGUGACGAUGCGCGUCGGGAAUGGUUCCAGAGUCGAUGUGAUCGCCGUCGGCACGCUGCCUCUACAUUUACCUACGGGAUUAGUUUUGAACCUCAAUAAUUGUUAUUUAGUGCCAAGUUUGAGCAUGAACAUUGUAUCUGGAUCUCGUUUAAUAUGAGAUGGCUACUCAUUUAAGUCUGAGAAUAAUGGUUGUUCGAUUUAUAUGAGAGAUAUGUUUUAUGGUCAUGCUCCGAUGGUCAAUGGUUUAUUCUUAAUGAAUCUCGAGCGUAAUAUUACACAUGUUCAUAGUGUAGAUACCAAAAGAUUUAAAGUUGAUAACGAUAGUCCCACAUACUUGUGGCACUGCCGCCUUGGUCACAUUGGUGUCAAGCGCAUGAAGAAGCUCCAUACCGAUGGACUUUUAGAGUCUCUUGAUUAUGAAUCGUUUAACACGUGCGAACCAUGCCUCUUGGGCAAAAUGACCAAGACUCCGUUCUCCGGAACAAUGGAGCGAGCAACCAACUUGUUGGAAAUCAUACAUACCGAUGUGUGCGGUCCAAUGAGCGUUGAGGCUCGCGGAGGAUAUCGUUAUGUUCUCACUCUCACAGAUGACUUGAGUAGAUAUGGGUAUGUCUACUUAAUGAAACACAAGUCUGAGACCUUUGAAAAGUUCAAGGAAUUUCAGAAUGAGGUGGAGAAUCAACGUGACCGAAAGAUAAAAUUCUUACGAUCAGCUCGUGGAGGAGAAUACUUAAGUCACGAAUUUGGUACACACUUAAAGAAAUGUGGAAUCGUUUCACAGCUCACGCCGCCUGGAACACCUCAGCGAAACGGUGUGUCCGAACGUCGUAAUCGCACUCUAUUGGAUAUGGUGCGAUCUAUGAUGUCUCUUACCGACUUACCGCUAUCAUUUUGGGGAUACGCUCUAGAGACAGCUACAUUCACUUUAAAUAGGGCACCGUCUAAAUCCGUUGAGACGACACCGUAUGAAUUAUGGUUUGGAAAGAAACCUAAGCUGUCGUUUCUAAAAGUUUGGGGAUGCGAAGCUUAUGUCGAGAAACUUCAACCUGAAAAGCUCGAACCCAAGUCGGAAAAAUGCAUAUUCAUAGGAUACCCUAAGGAAACUGUAGGGUAUACCUUCUACUUAAGAUCCGAAGGCAAGAUAUUUGUUGCCAAGAGCGGAUGCUUUCUGGAAAAAGAGUUUCUCUCGAAAGAAGUAAGUGGGAGGAAAGUAGAACUCGAUGAAGUACUACCUCUUGAGCGGGAUAGUGACGCAGCGCAGGAAACCGUUCCUGUGAUGCCCACACCAACUGAAGAGGAAAACCAUGAUAAUGAUCAAGGUACUUCGGAUCAAGUUACUGCUGAACUUCGUAGGUCCACAAGGACACGUUCCGCACCAGAGUGGUACGGCAACCCUGUCCUGGAAAUCAUGUUGUUAGACAACAAUGAACCUUCGAACUAUGAAGAAGCAAUGGCGGGCCCGGAUUCCAACAAAUGGCUUGAAGCCAUGAAAUCCGAGAUAGAAACAAAGUAUGGACUUUGACAGACUUGCCCGAUGAUCGGCGAGCGAUAGAAAACAAAUGGAUCUUUAAGAAGAAGACGGACGCGGAUGGUAAUGUUACCAUCUAUAAAGCUCGACUUGUCGCUAAGGGUUAUCGACAGGUUCAAGGGAUUGACUACGACGAGACAUUCUCUCCCGUAGCGAAGCUAAAGUCCGUCCGAAUCAUGUUAGCAAUUGCCGCAUACUAUGAUUAUGAGAUAUGGCAGAUGGACGUCAAAACAGCAUUCCUUAACGGGCAUCUUAAGGAAGAACUGUAUAUGAUGCAGCCGGAAGGUUUUGUCGAUCCUCGGAAUGCUAACAAAGUAUGCAAGCUCCAGCGAUCCAUUUAUGGACUGGUGCAAGCAUCUCGGAGUUGGAACAUUCGCUUUGAUGAGAUGAUCAAAGCGUUUGGGUUUAUGCAGACUUAUGGAGAAGCCUGCGUUUACAAGAAAGUGAGUGGGAGCUCUGUAGCAUUUCUCAUAUUAUAUGUAGAUGACAUACUCCUGAUGGGAAAUAAUAUAGAAUUUCUGGACAACAUUAAGGCCUACUUGAAUAAGUGUUUUUCAAUGAAGGACCUUGGAGAAGCUGCUUAUAUAUUAGGCAUCAAGAUCUAUAGAGAUAGAUCGAGACGCCUCAUAGGUCUUUCACAAAGCACAUACCUUGAUAAGAUUUUGAAGAGAUUCAGAAUGGAUCAGUCCAAGAAGGGGUUCUUGCCUUUGUUACAAGGUAUGAGACUGAGCUCAGCUCAGUCACCGACCACGGCAAAAGAUAAAGAAGAGAUGAGUGUCAUCCCCUAUGCUUCGGCCAUAGGAUCUAUUAUGUAUGCCAUGCUGUGUACCAGACCCGAUGUAAACCUUGCCGUAAGUUUGGUAACAAGAUACCAAAGUAAUCCCGGCAAGGAACACUGGACAGCGGUCAAGAAUAUCCUGAAGUACCUGAAAAGGACAAAGGACAUGUUUCUUGUUUAUGGAGGAGACAAAGAGCUCGUCGUAAAGGGUUACGUCGAUGCUAGCUUCGACUCAGAUCUGGAUGACUCUAAGUCACAAACCGGAUACGUGUAUAUGUUGAAUGGUGGAGCAGUAAGCUGGUGCAGCUGCAAGCAGAGCGUCGUGGCGGGAUCUACGUGUGAAGCGGAGUACAUGGCAGCCUCGGAGGCAGCACAUGAAGCGAUUUGGGUGAAGGAGUUCAUCACCGACCUAGGAGUCAUACCCAAUGCGUCGGGGCCGAUCAAACUCUUCUGUGACAACACUGGAGCUAUUGCCCUCGCAAAGGAGCCCAGGUUUCACAAGAAGACCAGGCACAUCAAGCGUCGUUUCAACUCCAUCCGUGAAAAUGUUCAAGAUGGAGACAUAGAGAUUUGCAAAGUACACACGGAUCUGAAUGUCGCAGAUCCGCUGACUAAACCUCUCUCGCAUGCAAAACAUGAUCAACACCAGAACUCUAUGGGUGUUCGAUUCAUCACAAUGUAACUAGAUUAGUGACUCUAGUGCAAGUGGGAGACUGUUGGAAAUAUGCCCUAGAGGCAAUAAUAAAAGUAUUAUUAUAUUUCAUUGUUCAUGAUAAUUGUCUUGUAUUCAUGCUAUAACUGUGUUAUCCGGAAAUCGUAAUACACGUGUGAAUACUUAGACCACACUAUGUCCCUGGUAAGCCUCUAGUUGACCAGCUCGUUGUGAUCAACAGAUAGUCAUGGUUUCCUGACUAUGGACAUUGGAUGUCGUUGAUAACGGGAUCACAUCAUUAGGAGAAUGAUGUGAUGGACAAGACCCAAUCCUAAGCAUAGCAUAAAAGAUCGUGUAGUUCGUUUUGCUAGAGCUUUGCAAGUGUCAAGUAUCUCUUCCUUCGACCAUGAGAUCGUGUAACUCCCGAAUACCGUAAGAGUGCCUUGGGUGUAUCAAACGUCACAACGUAACUGGGUGACUAUAAAGGUGCAUUACAGGUAUCUCCGAAAGUAGCUGUUGGGUUGACACGGAUCGAGACUGGGAUUUGUCACUCCGUAUGACGGAGAGGUAUCUCUGGGCCCACUCGGUAAUGCAUCAUCAUAUUGAGCUCAAUGUGACCAAGGUGUUGGACACGGGAUCAUGCAUUACGGUACGAGUAAAGUGACUUGCCGGUAACGAGACUGAACAAGGUAUUGGGAUACCGACGAUCGAGUCUCGGGCAAGUAACGUACCGAUUGACAAAGGGAAUUGCAUACAGGGUUUGAUCGAAUCCUCGACAUCGUGGUUCAUCCGAUGACAACAUCGAGGAGCAUGUGGGAGCCAUCAUGGGUAUCCAGAUCUCGCUGAUGGUUAUUGACUGAGAGCGUCUCGGUCAUGUCUGCAUGUCUCCCGAACCCGUAGGGUCUACACACUUAAGGUUCGGUGACGCUAGGGUUAUGAAGAUAUGGAUAUGCAGAAACCCGAAUGUUGUUCGGAGUCCCGGAUGAGAUCCCGGACGUCACGAGGAGUUCCGGAAUGGUCCGGAGGUAAAGAAUUAUAUAUAGGAAGUGCUAUUUCGGGCAUCGGGACAAGUUUCGGGGUUAUCGGUAUUGUACCGGGACCACCGGAAGGGUCCCGGGGGUCCACCGGGUGGGGCCACCUGUCCCGGGGGGCCACAUGGGCUGUAGGGGGUGCGCCUUGGCCAUCAUGGGCCAAGGGCACCAGCCCCUAUAGGCCCAUGCGCCUAGGGUUUCCCCCUAGGAGGAGUCCUAGUGGUGGAAGGCACCCCUAGGUGCCUUGGGGGGGAGGAAAACCUCCCCUAGGCCGCCGCCCCCCCUAGUAGAUCUCAUCUACUAGGGCCGGCGCCCCCCCUGGCACCCCUAUAUAUAGUGGGGGAGAGGAGGGACUUCAUACACCAGCCCCUGGCGCCUCCACCUCCCCCCGUUACGCCUCUCCCUCGUAGUCUCGGCGAAGCCCUGCUGCUGUGACGCCCUGCAUCCACCACCACGCCGUCGUGCUACUGGAUCUUCAUCAACCUCUCCUUCCCCCUUGCUGGAUCAAGAAGGAGGAGACGUCUCCCGUCCCGUACGUGUGUUGAACGCGGAGGUGCCGUCCAUUCGGCGCUGGUCAUCGGUGAUUUGGAUCACGUCGAGUACGACUACAUCAUCACCUUGCAAGCUUCCGCACGCGAUCUACAAGUGGUAUGUAGAUGCAAACUCUCUCCCUAGACUCGUUGCUUAGAUGAACUCAUAGAUGGAUCUUGGUGAAACCGUAGGAAAAUUUUUAAUUUUCUGCAACGUUCCCCAACACCGACGUGCCAGGCGAGCCACUCGUCACGGAUGUUAUGCUUGAAUGCCGCUAAGGCCUCUGCAUCCGGACAGUCGACAAUUUGGUUUUUCUUAGUUAGGAACCAUUUCCAGAAUUGCCUGGCCGAUUCCCCUGGCUGCUGAGUUAUAUGGCACAAGUCAUCAGCAUCCGGUGGUCGCACAUAAGUGCCCUGGAAGUUGUCAAGGAAUGCGUCUUCUAAAUCCUCCCAACUACCUACGGAGUCUGCUGGCAAGCUAUUCAGCCAAUGCCGAGCUGGUCCUUUGAGUUUUAGUGGGAAGUACUUGAUGGCAUGCAGAUCAUCACCGCGAGCGAUGUGGAUGUGGAGGAGGAAAUAUUCAAUCCAUAUAGCGGGAUCUGUUGUACCAUCAUACGAUUCGAUAUUUACGUGUUUAAAACCCUCCGGGAAUUCAUGAUCCAUAACUUCAUCAGUGAAGCAUAGGGGGUGUGCGGCGCCUCUGUGCCGGGCUAUAUCACGACACAGUUCAUAUGAGUCUUGUCUGCUGUAUUCGGCCUGGACGGAUUUACUUUUAGUGUAUCCGGCGCAACGGUCAUCAUCCCGCGUUGGCGCGCGCGCCCCCGUGACCCGUAUAUCGACCUUGCAUGUUUUGCCCUGCUGUCCAAUACGUCUCGCAGGUCCCGUGUGUUGCCCCAGGCCUUGGUGUUUUUAAUCGAGUGGCGGCGGGGUGCAGGCUGAACUUCAUGCUGAAAUGCCUCUCUGGUUCGGUCACGAGGUGGCCGGUCAGCCAUAUCGUACACUGGUGAUGUAGGUUUCAAUGCUUACUCCUCGAGGUGGGGUAGCAACCAGCGCUUUGGGUAACUCUUGGAGGGGCGCUCGAGUUCAUAUUCCUCGGCCGCAAGGACUUCGGUCCAUCUGUGUGCUAGCAGAUCUUGAUCAGCUUGAAGAUGUUGUUGCUUUUUCUUCAAGCUAUUUUCUGUGGCCAUAAGCCGGCGCUUGAAGCACUCCUGCUCGACGGGAUCCUCAAGCAUGAUAAAUUCUUCAUCACUGAGGCUCAUCUCGUCUUCGGAGAGAGGCAUGUAAUUGUCCUCCUCCAAUUCUCCAUCUGCUGCCCGCUCUGGAGGGCUAGCUUGUUCACCCUCCCGCUCUAAAUCAUGCUGGAGGGGAUUAUUGUCGUCUUCGGCACUAUCCGGAGUGUUAUUGUCUCUUGUGCCGGUAUCACUACUUUUGCUAUGGCGGGACUUAGAGCGGCGCCGCUGACGUCGGCGCUUGGGUUGCUUCUUGGAGGGGUCAUCCUUCGCUGUCUUGUCGCCAUUGCCUUCUUUGGGGGUGUCCACCAUGUAUAUAUCAUAUGAUGAGGUGGCGGUCCAGCGCCCUGUGGGCGGUGGUUCCUGUUCGUCUCCUGCAUCAUCGUCCAUACGGUCGAUGUCUUCGGAGUCAAAGUCGAGCAUGUCGGUUAAAUCAUCGACAAUGGCUACUAAGUGGGUGGUGGGUGGGGAGUGAAUUUCUUCGUCGUCCGCAUCCCAUUCUAGCCGGACAUAAUUCGGCCAAGGUUCUCCUGACAAGGAGAGAUACCUUAAUGACUUUAGCAUAUCGCCAAAAGGUGAGUGCUGAAAGAUAUCCGCAGAGGUGAACUCCAUGAUCGGCACCCAAUCGAAUUCGAUAGGCACAGACGCAGGUGGAUCGGAGUCCGUGGCCGGAGACGAAUCCAGUGGUUCGGCAACAUGGUUCUCGUAAGGGGUGAAGUCAGUAUCCGGCUCCAUCGCCACCGAGAGUGCGGCCUCCAUGGCGGGGUCUAUCCGCCCGUCCUCGGAUGGCGCAACUUGCUCUAGAUUGAAGGCUGGAGUAGUUGCAGGUGUGAUCUCCCGAACACUGUCCGACGGCAGAGCUAAAUCAUGAUCAUCGUGAUUGUAACACCCACAAUGCGGCUAUAUCUCCCACGUGUUGGAGAACGACUUAGAGUCAUAACCGCAUAGUAGGCAUGUCGCAAGAGGGGUAAUCUUUACACAUCCCAUGUACUGAAAUAGAAGGGAUAAAGAGUUGGCUUACAAUUUUCACUUCACACAAUACAUAAAUAUAGCAUUACAUCAUCCAGAUACAAUGAAGGUCUGACUACGGAACCAAAUAAAGAAAGACAACCCCUAAUGCAAAAGAUCCCCGAUCGCCCCAAUUGGGCUCCACUACUGAUCGAAAGGAAACGAAACAACCCAACGAACACGAUCUUCAUUUGAGCUCCCACUUGAGCUCAGCUGCGUCAUCUGCACUGGUAUCAACGACACCUGCAACUAGUUUUGGAAGUAAACUGUGAGUCACGGGGACUCAGGAAUCUCACACCCUCGCGAUCAAGAUUAUUUAAGCUUAUGGGUAGGAAAGGGUAGUGAGGUGGAGCUGCAGCAAGCACUAGCAUAUAUGGUGGCUAACUUACGCAAAUGAGAGCGAGAAGAGAAGCAAAGCAUGGUCGAUAAACCAUCAUGAUCAAGAAGUGAUCCUGAAACAACUUAUGUUCAAGCAUAACACGAGACCGUGUUCUCUUCCCAGACUCCGCCGAAAACAGACCAUCACGGCUACACACGCGGUUGAUUCAUUUCAAUUAAGUUUAGUUUCAGGUUUUCUACAACCGGAUAUUAAAAAAUUCCCAUCUGCCCAUAACCGCGGGCACAACUUUCGAAAGUUCAAAACCCUGCAGGGGUGUCCCAACUUAGCCCAUCACAAGCUCUCACGGUCAACGAAGGAUGUUCCUUCUCCCAGGAAGACCCAAUCAGACUCGGAAUCCCGGUUACAAGACAUUUUGACAAUGGUAAACAAAGACCAGGAAAGCCGCCCAGAUGUGCCGACAAAUCCCAAUAGUAGCUGCACAUAUCUCGUUCUCAGGGCACACCAGAUGAGCAAGACGUCGGGUUGGCAUAGACCCUGGUUGCCCAGGGNNNNNNNNNNNNNNNNNNNNNNNNNNNNNNNNNNNNNNNNNNNNNNNNNNNNNNNNNNNNNNNNNNNNNNNNNNNNNNNNNNNNNNNNNNNNNNNNNNNNNNNNNNNNNNNNNNNNNNNNNNNNNNNNNNNNNNNNNNNNNNNNNNNNNNNNNNNNNNNNNNNNNNNNNNNNNNNNNNNNNNNNNNNNNNNNNNNNNNNNNNNNNNNNNNNNNNNNNNNNNNNNNNNNNNNNNNNNNNNNNNNNNNNNNNNNNNNNNNNNNNNNNNNNNNNNNNNNNNNNNNNNNNNNNNNNNNNNNNNNNNNNNNNNNNNNNNNNNNNNNNNGCGAACUGUCAAGGGGUUCCCAUUAUAACCCAACCGCAUAAGGAACACAAAAUCAAGGAACAUAACACCGGUAUGACGGAAACUAGGGCGGCAAGAGUGGAACAAAACACCAGGCAUAAGGCCGAGCCUUCCACCCUUUACCAAGUAUAUAGGUGCAUUAAAGUAAACAAGAUAUAAUAAUGAUAUCCCAACAAUAUCCAUGUUCCAACAUGGAACAAACUUCAUCUUCACCUGUAACUAGCAAUGCUAUAAGAGGGGCUGAGCAAAGCGGUAACAUAGCCAAACAACGGUUUGCUAGGAAAGAUGGGUUAGAGGCUUGACAUGGCAAUAUGGGAGGCAUGAUAUAGCAAGUGGUAGGUAUCGUGGCAUAGCAAAAGAGCGAGCAACUAGCAAGCAAAGAUAUAAGUGAUUUUGAGGGUAUGGUCAUCCUGCGUGCAAAGUUCUCCGAGUUGACGUAAGCUUGAUCCUCGUAAGCGUACUCAACAGGUUCGUCGAUCACGUACUCGUCUCCCAGCUCUAGCCAAAGCAAGAACACAAGCAAAGGGAACAACAAUCAACCACGGUGAAAUGCGCAAGCAACAUGAUGCAAAACAUGGCAUGAUAUGCGGGAUGUGAUAUGCAAUGCAUAUGCGAGCUCCGGAAGGAAAAGAUUGAACCAUGCCUCAACGUGGCAAACCAAGUGCGCUGCUGGGAAGAUGAGUUGAUUUCGGUCGAAAUCGAUAUAAAGAUCACCGGAAUUGGAUGCACAGUUUGCAAAUGGCAAGCAAAACAAGAAUGGCACAAUUCUGCGAUUAACAGCACGAUGACAUCUAGAAUGCAACAAGAAACUAAGCUACUGCACUCUAACAUAGCAAUAAAGCACAUGGCAGUGAUCUACUCAAGAUGCUUGACAAAAUAUGAACACUGAGCUAUGGCUAAAUCACACAAGAGUAGGUUUGAACUAGCAUGGCAAAAGUGCAAAAGAUAUCAGCAUCACAGACUUAGUGAAAAUAACAGCUUGCCAGGAAUUAACAUCAGGAAGACAUGUUUAGAGCAAGCUAACAAUAUGCUACAGGAACAUAUCAUAGCAAGAUAAGGCAUGACAUGAAUAUACUCAAAGCAUAGAACAAAAGUCCCUUACUAACCAUAAGCCAAAAAGGAUCAGAAGAUAUGAUGGCACCCAUGUAAACAUAGCAAGUUUCGUUAACAGAUUCAGACUUAGCAGAAAAACUGGACAUGGCAUAAACAGAAUUAUAAAGGCAUGUUUGCGAGCUCGAUGCACUCAUCACAAGGCAUUGCAUGACAAGCUAAGCAUACUACCAGCAAGAAGACAUGUUCAUGAAGCUAUACAAAGCAAGAACAAGCUCAUAGCAUGCAUGGAUCAACUACAACAACCUUGGCAAAAUUGAUUAACAUGUAAACAAUCUGCCAGGAACAUUUUAUAGCAAAAGUAGAGCAAGAUUGAGUCAUGCUAUGGCACUCCAUAAAUGCACACAGGGGCAUGGAUGGAUAGAGCACAACCAUAUGUCCAAAUCAUCAUUACUGAACAUACUCAAAAGAAGCAUGGAUCUCUCUGUAGCAACAUGAAUACAUGGCAUCAAAAUAACAGCAGGGAAAUGACUUAGUGAAAUUCUAAGUCUCUGAAAACAGCAACAUCACGAGAGCUACUUUGCAUGCAUGUGCUAUUCACCACAUUUAUCACAAAAAUACAUGGAUACACCCCUGUAAAGAUGGCAAGGCAUAGCCCAAAACACAUGUAGAGCUCAUGCCCAUAUGAAGCACACAAUAAAUGUAGCAAAAUGAAAAAUGCUCAUAAUCUGCUAAGUAACAGGAACUAACAUUUUAUAGCACUCUUGCAUCAACAAUUUGGGUAUCAAGAUGGACUCAAACAAGCAUGGCACAAUGGAACAAAAUGAAAAGCACAUCAUGAUGAACAUUUAGAUAUAUCAUGCAUGCAAAAUGGAGCUACGGUCAUGGAGUUAUGAUGUGAUGAAUAUGGCCUGAAAAUAAGAGGGGGAAAAGGACUUAGUAGAAAUUAGACCUCGCGGGAAAAUGGACGAAGGGGUUCGGGACGAGUAGAUCCAGGGCGUGGGGGUGUGUUUGGUUCGGAUCCCGGUGGAUCUCGUCCCACCUGGACGGAUCUGACCGGAUCCGAACUCCGGUGCGGGUGGUGGCCUCCGGCGAGGAACGAAGGCGGCGGCGGGCGCUGCGGUGGCGAGGUUGGCGGAGGACGCCGGCGGGGUUGAGAGGCGGCGUGCGGCGGCGAAGGAAGGCCGGCGAGGUCGGCUCAGGCGGCGGCGGGAGACGGAGGCGGGAGGCGACCGGUGCCGGAGUGGAGGCGCGCCGGUGACCUCGGGCACGGGCGGCGGCGUUGCGUGCCUNNNNNNNNNNNNNNNNNNNNNNNNNNNNNNNNNNNNNNNNNNNNNNNNNNNNNNNNNNNNNNNNNNNNNNNNNNNNNNNNNNNNNNNNNNNNNNNNNNNNNNNNNNNNNNNNNNNNNNNNNNNNNNNNNNNNNNNNNNNNNNNNNNNNNNNNNNNNNNNNNNNNNNNNNNNNNNNNNNNNNNNNNNNNNNNNNNNNNNNNNNNNNNNNNNNNNNNNNNNNNNNNNNNNNNNNNNNNNNNNNNNNNNNNNNNNNNNNNNNNNNNNNNNNNNNNNNNNNNNNNNNNNNNNNNNNNNNNNNNNNNNNNNNNNNNNNNNNNNNNNNNNNNNNNNNNNNNNNNNNNNNNNNNNNNNNNNNNNNNNNNNNNNNNNNNNNNNNNNNNNGCGGGCACGUUGGCCCGUGCCGGCAGCGGCGGCGGGUGCAUGGGCCGGGGAGGGCCCAACCCAGGCCUGGCGGGCCCUCGAUAGAGGCGGGGGAGAGAGAGGGUGGUGGCGCGCUGAGGUGGCAGCGGAGGAUUGGGCGCGGGGCUUACGACCGGUGAGGUGGUGGCGGAUGAUUGGCCGGGGUGACGCGUCCGGCGGACACGUCCGGCGGCACGAGGAAGAGGAAGGCUAGGGUUUCAUCCGCGAAUUUUCGGGGGGAGGUGCAAAUAUAUAGGUAGAGGGAGCUAGGAGAGUCCAAAUGAGGCGCGGUUUUCAGCCACGCGAUCAUGAUUGAACGACCGAGAGGAUGGAGGAGGUUUGGAUGGGUUAUUGGGCCACUUUGAAGGGGUGUUGGGCUGCAACACACACGAGGCCUUUACGACUCCCUGGUUAACCGUUGGAGUAUCAAACGGACUCCAAAUGAUACGAAACUUGACAGGCGGUCUACCAGUGGUAUACCAAGUCCGCUUGGAAAAUCUAGGUCCAUUCCGAGAAAGUUUAACACCCGCACACGAAAAGAGACAAAAGAGGGCGCCGGAGGACGUAGGAGUGCCGGAUUGCAAAACGGACAAUGGGGAAAAUGCUCGGAUGCAUGAGACGAACACGUAUGCAAAUGCGAUGCACAUGAUGACAUGAUAUGAAAUGCAUGACAUGGACAAAAUGCAAACAAAGACAAGGACCGAACCACGAAUCUCACAACACCUCUCUAGAAAAGGCAAGAGUCGGAGUACAAAUAUGGAAAGUUGUAUCCGGGGCGUUACAACACUCCACCACUACGAGAGGAUCUCGUCCCGAGAUCUAGGAUGGCACCGGAGGGAAAAAAGGAAGAGGAAGAAGAGAGGUAAAACUAAGUUGCUUCUUUGACAAACGAGUGAAACCAAAGAACCUUGAGAGGUUGAACAACUUGAAAGAAAAAAUACAAUGGAGAUGAACGAAGUUGAAAUCACUCUGUUAGGAAAGAGGAACAAGGAAGAACAAAUUCGGACAGCACUCCAGUUGAAAAGUGAUACGAAACUUGAUAGAAUGGGAAAACCUUGAAUGAAGGACACGACACUCCAGUUGAAUGGAUAAGCAAAAGGAAAGAACAUGAUCUUCACAAUCCGAGAUGAUGAGAGAAAAGAGCAACAUCACAAUGCCUCCGGAACAAAAGUAAGAAUGGAAUCAAAAGAACGGAGGAGAAAAACAACAUCUUCUACCUGAAAUGAGCUUGAAAAGCAUUUUUAGGAGAAGGUUCGAAUGGAGUUGUUGGGAAUCCAACAACGAAAAGAGUAAGCUUGUUGUGGGCUUAUAGAAAACAUCUCGAAAUCUUGAGGUGAAAUUCUGCCACUAACGGAAAACAAUAGAUUUGACUUGAUAUGAACAAGGAGACGAGAAGGUAUUUCACCGGGAGGAUAAAAGAAGAACUUGGGUUAUUUAUAAGCACCAAAAAUAGCAACAAUCCUUAGGGAAAGCUUUAGGUGAAAUAUAACCCAAGAUAACUCCAAUGAAGAGAUCAAUUGGUUGGAAAGAUCUCGUGCACGAAUAGAAAAUGAUGGGUUUAAAAUAUGUCAUUCCGGACAACUUAUGAAUCAUGAAACACAAAGUGAAAUUGUCAACAAUGACAUAGCACCAUCUCAAAAGAUAAGGUAGAAAGAAUUGCACUUCGGAAUCCAAUAUGAAGAAUGAUUGAACUCCUCAAAACAAGACAUGUGUUGAGCACCAUGUUUAUUUGAGAGUAUAGCUUAGCGGAUUAUAAAUUCGAGAGAAAUCUUGAAGAACAAUUGAAGAAUGUAAUGAAUCCUUGACGAACAACCAUGUAGAGCCUCCAUGAAGAACUCUGGUAAUAAAAGGAUGAUAAAAAAGAAGUGAAGGAUGAAAAGAAUAAGAUUGAAGCCUUGCAAUGAUUAGAUGAAUCUUCGUGAUGAUGAGAGCUUGGAACUCUUGGAAAAGAAAAGACAAAGCAUCUCGAACCGAGAAUGUGAUAUGAUGAACCACUCCGGAAAGCAGGAAUUGAAUUUAUUCGAUGAAACAAGAAUCAGAAUUACAUUAUGCUUAUCCUUCACCAAUUUAAAUUGAUGAAAAGCAACGGAUUUGGCAUACCACUUAUUCUCGUAGAAAGGUUUAAGAGAGAUAUCGCGUAAACUUGAGAAGGUCUUCAACGAACCACCGGUAGGAUUGGAAAGAACGAAUGAAUUGAUAUGAGCACAACAGAAGAGGAAUGUUGAACGAACCACCGUAGGAAUUGAAAACGAACGAAGUAAAGGGGUGAAUCACCGGUAAGAAUUAGAGAAGAAUGAAGAUACUUGAGGGGGUUUAGAUACAUGAGACCGAAUAGAUCACGAGCUGAUUAGGGAAUACUUGAAUGAUGCACCAGUAAGAUUUGGAGAACGAGAGCUGAAAGCUGGGAUGAAUAAUCGUGAGAUGAUGGACUCCGGAGAAUCAAACUGAAAAGACUCCUGAAUUGCUCCGGAUGGGUGAAAAGAAUUCUCACAAUCAAAAAAAAUAUGAGAGGAUGGCAUCUAGCUUGAACUACGCAUUUUCGAGAGAAUGGACCAAUAUUUGAGAGAAAACUCGUAUUCGGUCUUCAGAUGUUGAUAAUGACAAUGCGAAACACCAACAUGGGUUGUUGAGAUACUCCGGGAUGAAUAAUAGAAAGGUUGAACCGAGGAUUAAAAGAAUUUGAAAGAUCUUAGAGAAAUACAUAUGACUGAUGAUAAUUCAUUCUUACGUCAACUUUGAAAUGAAUUUGAGAAUAACUCCGGGAAGAUUAGAAUAGUCAGGUAAGAUCCUGGGGAAAGACCUGUGGGUUAGGGACACUCAAAAGAAACACCAUUGAAAUGAUUUGAGGAGAGAGAUUGCACCAGUUAAAUUAAAUGGCUUGAAUUAGAUAACAACCUCGAGAUAUCUUGAACGAUUGAUAAUGGAGACACAAAUCUUCUGAGAUAUCUUCAGCACUCCUAUCGUGGAAUUGUCACGGCAGAUGUCUUAGUGUGAGGACUUAGUCGUGAGGCCAACGCAUCUAUGUAGUAGCUUGAGAGGGGUUGAGCGGAAUCGAGAGACGCAACACAAGACAAGGGUUUAGAAAGCUUCGGGCCUCGGGAAAACAUCGUCCGGUAACAACCCUUCAUGCUGUUUGUGGUUAGGUCUCAUUAUCAUCAUGGGGGAGUCUCCGGUAAGCCGGCUCUUUGUGUCUAGCCCUCGAGAUUAUUUCUUGUUGCUUGUUCCUCUUGGGGAGCCCUGCCCCUCCUUAUAUAAGUUAGAGGGGCGGGUUACAUGUGGAGUCCUAGUAGGACUAGGACUAGUCUAUCUUCUCUUACAAGUUGAAUACAAGUCCGGGUCUUGCUUCCUCGUAAAGGAAAUAUUCGUCAUCUCUUUCCUCUUAAGCCGGCCCAUCAUAACGUGAGCCGGCCUUCUGGGCUUUGGGCCUUGUUGUCCAUCCGACCCGCCCGCCAGGUUACUAAUGAGUCGCCAAGAUCGGGCGAGUUAUCUGUGAAUCGCCAAGCUCCAGGCGGGUCACCAGUGAGUCGCCACGCUCCAGCCGGGUUAUACAUCCGGUGGGUUACACCGCGGGGUAUAUCCCUGACAACUCCUGAACAAUUGAAUAGCGAGAAGUGAAAAAAAUACGAAGCGCAACAGUAUGGAAAAAUAUUUGAAACGAGGAAAAGAUAUGAUCAACAAAGCUUGAAUUGAAUCCACCGGAGAAGAAAAGAAAUAACGAAUGAUAACUUGAAGCUCCGUUAGUAUCUUUCUGAGAAUCACCGGAUAAGAAGAUUGAAGGGAAAGAAUGAAGAGACUUGAUGAAUAAAAAUGGAUAGUUGAUUUGAAUAUCUCCGAGUCCUUGGAGAAAAAGGGUGGGAGGGCGGGAAAAACAAAGACAACUUGAGACGGAUGAAACAAACACCGUUGAGAAAAACUUGAGUUGAUCUUGCGGAUGUUGAAAAAGAUCAGAUCCACUUGAAGAAAAACACGCCGGUUGAAAAGAAUUGACAUGACAACCUCGAUGAUCAAGAAGGAUUAGUAUUCACAUAGGAAUAUGAGAACACCGCUUAGGAAAGGUAUGGAAUCAACAUUUGACUUCGAAGCAACUCGAAUACCACAACUGAAAAAAACAAAACAAAGUAUUGACUUGCAAAAUAAGCCGGAACAAACAUAUGAUAGAGAUUUCGUCCGAAGUUUUCGUGGUGGGGCCCACACGGGCUCGAUCGUACAUCACCAUCAUGUACAAGGCAGUGCACAUGACAUACGAAGCAUCCCCGAGUCAGCAUAGCCAAGGACUCUUUAAGACACAACGAGACCACUGUAAAACCAACCGUGGAUAGGCGGACCACUAGACGUCGAACCCCAAUCUCAUAUCAUGCAUCUGUCGGAAAGAUAUCCUAGGAGCUACUUGAAUUCCCACUUAUAAACUCCCGAAACUUUCUAGUUAUGCAAUCAGGUGUUGGGGAUACAUGGGAAGCAUAAUAUCUCACUGAAAACUAGCAAAUCCUACAUCCAGCUGUAUCCAUCCUUGAACACAUAACCAAGAAACCUUCGGAAAUCAUUUACCUCAACCUUCAAAAAGCAUUCGUUAUACGAGUUAUGGCAAUACUCCCGAACUCCCGCCCUAGUACUGGGUGGCAUCGAGGUUAUCUCACCAACAACUGCAUAAAAGAGAUUUUCGAUGUCGGCAAACUCAGGUAUUCCAGAACUGCAACAAUAAAAUUGUGAUGACAACACCUCGGAGCUCAACUCCCCUGGACACUGCCACAACCCCUAAAUGUAAGGAGGCACCAAGAACAAUGUUCUCGUCACAAAACCAUCGGAACGAUUCCAAGAUACCUGCGUGAUCCUAAAAAAAAUCGUGAAAUUUGAGGAGAGAAGAGUCAAAACUCUAUGUCAGGAGGCCUUACCAGAGCACCGAAGGGACCGAGGAGCAAAAAGAAUUCUACUCUUUGAUAUAUAUAAUCCUAUCAGACUCAAAACAUUUUUCUAGACUCAACAACGCCAACGAUUCGAUCAAGUAGGGGGCUCCUAAGUCGGGGAAGGCUCUGAUACCAACUUGUAACACCCACGAUGCGGCUAUAUCUCCCACGUGUCGGAGCAUGACUUAGAGGCAUAACUGCAUAGUAGGCAUGUCGCAAGAGGGGUAAUCUUUACACAUCCCAUGUACUGAAAAAGAAGGGAUAAAGAGUUGGCUUACAAUCACCACUUCACACAAUACAUAAAUAUAGCAUUACAUCUUCCAGAUACAAUCAAGGUCUGACUACGGAACCAAAUAAAUAAAGACAAACCCUAAUGCAAAAGAUCCCCGAUAGCCCCAACUGGGCUCCACUACUGAUCGAAAGGAAAUGAAACAACCCAACAAACACGAUCUUCAUCGAGCUCCCACUUGAGCUCAGCUGCGUCAUCUGCACUGGUAUCAACAGCACCUGCAACUAGUUUUGGAAGUAAACUGUGAGUCACGGGGACUCAUCAAUCUCACACCCUCGUGAUCAAGACUAUUUAAGCUUAUGGGUAGGAAAGGGUAGUGAGGUGGAGCUGCAACAAGCACUAGCAUAUAUGGUGGCUAACUUACGCAAAUGAGAGCGAGAAGAGAAGCAAAGCACAGUCGAUAAACUAUCAUGAUCAAGAAGUGAUCCUGAAACUACUUACACUCAAGCAUAACACGAGACCGUGUUCUCUUCCCGGACUCCGCCGAAAAGAGACCAUCACGGCUACACACGCGGUUGAUUCAUUUUAAUUAAGUUUAGUUUCAGGUUUUCUACAACCGGAUAUUAACAAAUUCCCAUCUGCCCAUAACCGCGGGCACGGCUUUCGAAAGUUCAAAACCCUGUAGGGGUGUCCCAACUUAGCCCAUCACAAGCUCUCACGGUCAACGAAGGAUAUUCCUUCUCCUAGGAGAUGAAUAGGUGAGUGCUGAAAGAUAUCCGCAGAGGUGAACUCCAUGAUCGGCGCCCAAUCGAAUUCGAUAGGCACAGACGCAGGUGGAUCGGAGUCCGUGGCCGGAGACGAAUCUAGUGGUUCGGCAACACGGUUCUCGUAAGGGGUGAAGUUAGUAUCCGGCUCCAUCGCCACUGAGAGUGCGGCCUCCAUGGCGGGGUCUAUCCGCCCGUCCUCGGAUGGCGCAAAUUGCUCUAGAUUGAAGGCUGGAGUAGUUGCAGGUGUGAUCUCCCAAACACUGUCCGACGGUAGAGCUAAAUCAUGCUCAUCGUGAUUGUAACACCCACGAUGCGGCUAUAUCUCCCACGUGUUGGAGCACGACUUAGAGUCAUAACCGCAUAGUAGGCAUGUCGCAAGAGGGGUAAUCUUUACACAUCCCAUGUACCAAAAUAGAAGGGAUAAAGAGUUGGCUUACAAUUGUCACUUCACACAAUACAUAAAUAUAGCAUUACAUCAUCCAGAUACAAUCAAGGUCCGACUAUGGAACCAAAUAAAGAAAGACAACCCCUAAUGAAAAAGAUCCCCGAUCGCCCCAACUGGGCUCCACUACUGAUCGAAAGGAAACGAGACAACCCAACGAACACGAUCUUCAUCGAGCUCCCACUUGAGCUCAGCUGCGUCAUCUGCACUGGUAUCAACGGCACCUGCAACUAGUUUUGGAAGUAAACUGUGAGUCACGGGGACUCAGCAAUCUCACACCCUCGUGAUCAAGAUUAUUUAAGGUUAUGGGUAGGAAAGGGUAGUGAGGUGGAGCUACAGCAAGCACUAGCAUAUAUGGUGGAAAACUUACACAAAUGAGAGCGAGAAGAGAAGCAAAGCAUGGUCGAUAAACUAUCAUGAUCAAGAAGUGAUCCUGAAACAACUUAUGUUCAAGCAUAACACGAGACCGUGUUCUCUUCCCGGACUCCGCCGAAAAGAGACCAUCACGGCUACACACGCAGUUGAUUCAUUUCAAUUAAGUUUAGUUUCAGGUUUUCUACAACCGGAUAUUAACAAAUUCCCAUCUGCCCAUAACCACGGGCACAACUUUCAAAAGUUCAAAACCCUGCAGGGGUGUCCCAACUUAGCCCAUCACAAGCUCUCACAGUCAACGAAGGAUAUUGCUUCUCUCAGGAAGACCCGAUCAGACUCGGAAUCCCGGUUACAAGACAUUUUGACAAUGGUAAAACAAGACUAGCAAAGCCGCCCAGAUGUGCUGACAAAUCCCGAUAGUAGCUGCACAUAUCUCGUUCUCAGGGCACACUGGAUGAGCAAGACGUCGGGUUGGCAUAGACCCUGGUUGCCCAGGGGGCGCCGGACAUCACUCAGGUUGGACCAACACUUAGAGAAGCANNNNNNNNNNNNNNNNNNNNNNNNNNNNNNNNNNNNNNNNNNNNNNNNNNNNNNNNNNNNNNNNNNNNNNNNNNNNNNNNNNNNNNNNNNNNNNNNNNNNNNNNNNNNNNNNNNNNNNNNNNNNNNNNNNNNNNNNNNNNNNNNNNNNNNNNNNNNNNNNNNNNNNNNNNNNNNNNNNNNNNNNNNNNNNNNNNNNNNNNNNNNNNNNNNNNNNNNNNNNNNNNNNNNNNNNNNNNNNNNNNNNNNNNNNNNNNNNNNNNNNNNNNNNNNNNNUGCAGAACCCAAGGGGAAGGUGAUAGGUUGUUAGUGCAAAUGUAAAACCAAGGUUGGGCCUUGCUGGAGGAUUUUUAUUCAAAGCAAACUGUUAAGGGGUUCCCAUUAUAACCCAACCACGUAAGGAACGCAAAAUCAAGGAACGUAACACCAGUAUGACGGAAACUAGGGCGGCAAGAGUGGAACAAAACACCAGGCAUAAGGCCGAGCCUUCCACCCUUUACCAAGUAUAUAGGUGCAUUAAAGUAAACAAGGUAUAAUAAUGAUGUACCAAUAAUAUCCAUGUUCCAACAUGGAACAAACUUCAUCUUCACCUGCAACUAGCAACGCUAUAAGAGGGGCUGAGCAAAGCGGUAACAUAGCCAAACAAUGGUUUGUUAGGAAAGGUGGGUUAGAGGUUUGACAUGGCAAUAUGGGAGGCAUGAUAUAGCAAGUGGUAGGUAUCAUGGCAUAGCAAAAGAGAGAGCAACUAACAAGCAAAGAUAGAAGUGAUUUCGAGGGUAUGGUCAUCUUGCCUGCAAAGUUUUCCGAGUUGACGUAAGCUUGUUCCUCGUAAGCGACUCAACAGGUUCCUCGAUCACGUACUCGUCUCCCGGCUCUACGCAAAGCAAGAACACAAGCAAAGGGAACAACAAUCAACCACGGUGCAAUGCGCAAGCAACAUGAUGCAAAACAUGGCAUGAUAUGCGGGAUGUGAUAUGCAAUAAAUAUGCGAGCUCUGGAAUGAAAAUAUUGAACCAGGACUCAACUUGGCAAACCAAGUGCGCUGUUGGAAAGAUGAGUUGAUUUUGGUCGAAAUCGAUAUAAAGAUCACCGGAAUCGGAUGCACGUUUGCAAAUGGCAAGCAAAACAAGAAUGGCACAAUUCUGCGAUUAACAGCACGAUGUCAUCUAGAAUGCAACAAGAAACUAAGCUACUGCACUCUAACAUAGCAACAAAACACAUGGCAGUGAUCUAAUCAAGAUGCUUGACAAAAGAUGGACACUGAACUACGGCUAAAUCACACAAGAGCAGGUUCAAACAAGCAUGGCAAAAGUGCAAAAGAUAUCAGCAUCACAUACUUGGUGAAAAUAACAACAUGCCAGAAAUUAACAUCAGGAAGACAUGUUUAGAGCAAGCUAACAACAUGCUACAAGAAAAUAUCAUAGAAAUACAAGGCACGGCAUGAAUAUAAUCAAAGCAUAGAACAAAAGUCCUUUAGUGACCAUAAGCCAAAAAGGAUCAGAAGAUAUGAUGGCACCCAUGUAAACAUAACAAGUUUCGUUAACAGAUUCAGACUUAGCAGAAAAACUGGACAUGGCAUAAACAGAAUUAUGAAGGCAUGUUUGCGAGCUUGAUGCACUCAUCACAAGGCAUUGCAUGACAAGAUAAGCAUACUACCAGCAAGAAGACAUGUUCAUGAAGCUAUAAAAGUAAGAACAAGCUCAUAGCAUGCAUGGAUCAACUACAACAACCUUGGCAAAAUUGAUUAACAUGUAAACAAUCUGCCAGGAACAUUUUAUAGCAAAAGUAGAGCAAGAUUGAUUCAUGCUAUGGCACUCCAUAAAUGCACACAGGGGCAUGGAUGGAUAGAGCACAACCAUAUGUGCAAAUCAUCGUUACUGAACAUACUCAAAAGAAGCAUGGAUAUCUCUGUAGCAACAUGAAUACAUGGCAUCAAAAUAACAGCAGGGAAAUGACUUAGUGAAAUUCUAAGUCUCUAAAAACAGAAACAUCACGAGAGCUACUUUGCAUGCAUGUGCUAGUCACCACAUUGAUCACAAAAUACAUGGCAUACACCCCUGUAAAGAUGGCAUGGCAUAGCCCAAAACACAUGUAGAGCUCAUGCCCAUAUGAAGCACACAAUAAAUGUAGCAAAAAAGACAAAUGCUCAUAAUCUGCUAAGUAACAGGAACUAACAUUUUAUAGCACUCUUGCAUCAACAAUUUGGGCAUCAAGAUGGACUCAAACAAGCAUGGCACAAUGGAAAAAAAUGAAGAGCACAUCAUGAUGAACAUUUUGAUAUAUCAUGCAUGCAAAACGGUGCUACGGUCAUGGAGUUAUUAUGCGAUGAACAUGGCCUAAAAAUAAGAGGGGGAAAAGGACUUAGUAGAAAUUAGACCUUGCGGGAAAAUGGACGAAGGGGUUUGGGACGAGUAGAUCCAGGGCGCGGGGGCGCGUUUGGUUCAGAUCCCGGUGGAUCUCGUCCCACCUGGACGGAUUUGACCGGAUCCGAACUCCGGUGCGGGCGGCGGCCUCUGGCGAGGAACGAAGGCGGCGGCAGGCGCUGCGGUGGCGAGGUCGGUGGAGGACGCCGGCGGGGUUGAGAGGCAGCGCGCGAUGGCGAAGAAAGGCCGGCGUGUUCGGCUCAGGCGGCGGCGGGAGACGGAGGCGCGGAGCGGAGGCGGGAGGCGACCGAUGCCGGAGUGGAGGCGCGCCAGUGACCUCGGGCGCGAGCGGCGGCGUUGCGUGCCUCGGGUGGCGUGCGGGCGCGUUGACCUGUGCCGGCGGCGGCGGCGGGUGCACGGGCCGAGGAGGGCCCAACUUGGGCCUGGCGGGCCCUUGGUAGUGGCGGGGGAGAGAGAGGGCGGUGGCGCGCUGAGGUGGCGGCGGAGGAUUGGGAGCGGGGCGUCCGGCCGGUGAGGUGGCGGCGGAUGAUUGGCUGGGGUGACGCGUCCGGCGGACACGUCCGGCGCGAACGGACUUGUCCGGCGGCGCGAGGAAGAGGAAGGCUAGGGUUUCAUCCGUGAAUUUUUGGGGGGAGGUGCAAAUAUAUAGGUAGAGGGAGCUAGGAGAGUCCAAAUGAGGUGCGGUUUUCGGCCACGCGAUCAUGAUCAAACGACCAAGAGAAUAGAGGGGGUUUGGAUGGGUUAUUGGGCCACUUUGAAGGGGUGUUGGGCUGAAACACACAUGAGGCCUUUACGGUUCCCCGGUUAACCGUUGGAGUAUCAAACGGACUCCAAAUGACACGAAAUUUGACAGGCGGUCUACCGGUUGUAUACCAAGGCCGUUUGGCAAAUCUCGGUCCAUUCCGAGAAAGUUUAACACCCGCACACGAAAAGAUACAAAAGAGAGCGCCGGAGGACGUAGGAGUGCCGGAUUGCAAAACGAACAACGGGGAAAAUGCUCGGAUGCAUGAGACGAACACAUAUGCAAAUGCGAUGCACAUGAUGACAUGAUAUGAAAUGCAUGACAUGAACAGAAUGCAAAAAAAAGACAAGAACCCAACCACGAAUCUCAGAACACCUCUCUGGAAAAGGCAAGAGUCGGAGUACAAAUAUGGAAAGUUGUAUCCAAGGCGUUACAGUGAUCGUGCGGCGCACCUGACAUAGGCUCGAAUCCUUCGAAGAUCAAGUCUCUGCGGAUGUCGGUAGUGUAGUUUAAGUUUCUGAACCUGACCUGAUGGCCAGGGGCGUAGCUCUCGAUAUGAUCCAGGUGGACAAGCGAGUCGGCCCGCAGUGCGAGGCCGCCGAAUAUGAAGAUCUGUCCAGGGAGGAAAUCCUCACAUUGGACCGCAUCAUUACCAAUGAUCGAAGGAGCCAUCAAGCCUUACAGUGACGACACAGUGGAACUCUCAAUGAAAGCACCAAUGUCGGUGUCAAAACCGGCGGAUCUCGGGUAGGGGGUCCCGACCUGUGCGUCUAAGACGGAUGGUAACAGGAGGCAGGGGACACGAUGUUUACCCAGGUUCGGGCCCUCUCGAUGGAGGUAAUACCCUACGUCCUGCUUGACUGAUCGUGAUGAUAUGAGUAUUACAAGAGUUGAUCUACCCCGAGAUCAUAGAGGCUAAACCCUAGAAGCUAGCCUAUGGUAUGACUGUAUGUUGUCCUACGGACUAAACCCUCCGGUUUAUAUAGACACCGGAGGGGGCUAGGGUUACACAAAGUCGGUUACAAGGGAGGAGAUCUACAUAUCUGUAUUGCCAAGCUUGCCUUCCACGCCAAGGAGAGUCCCAUCCAGACACGGGACGAAGUCUUCAAUCUUGUAUCUUCAUAGUCCAACAGUCCGGCCAAAGGAUAUAGUCCGGCUGUCCGGAGACCCCCUAAUCCAGGACUCCCUCAACACCCAUAGUUCACAUUGCCAUGUGACCAACACCCAAUGGGUUUACUAGAGUCAAUAAUCUAGUUCACAUUGCUAUGCGAUUAACACCCUGAUGUCUACUAUGCAACUUUAUUCUUGUAGACAUGUGUUGGGCCUCCAAGCGCAGAGUUUUGUAGGACAAUAGCAAUUUUCCCUCAAGUGGAUGACCUAAGAUUUAUCAAUCCGUGAGAGGUGUAGGAUGAAGAUGGUCUCUCUUGAACGACCCUGCAACCAAAUACAAGAAAUCUCUCGUGUCCCCAACACACCCAAUACAAUGGGAAUUGUAUAGGUGCACUAGUUCGUCGAAGAGAUGGUGAUAAAAGUGUAAUAUGGAUGGUAGAAAUAUAUUUUUAUAAUCUAAAUAAAUAAAAACAGCAAGGUAGCAAAUAGUAAACAGGCACAAAAAUAGUGUUUUAAUGCUUAAAAACAAGGCCUAGGGUCCGUACUUUCGCUAGUGCAAUCUCUCAACAAUGCUAACAUAGUUGGAUCAUAUGAUUAUCCGUCAAAGUGUAACAAAGAAUCACUCCCGAGUUCCUAUUAGCGGACAACAAAAGAUAGGAAUUGUUUGUAGGGUACUAAACCACCUGAAAGCUAUUCUUUCCGUUCAAUCUAUUCAAGAUUUCGUACUAAAAUAACACCAAGCUAUUGUUUCCGUUCGAUCUAUCCUAGAGUUCGUACUAGAAUAACACCAUCAUAUUCAUAAUACUCAAUCCACACAAAGAACUACAAGAAUGCCCCAAGAUUUCUACCAGAGAAACAAGGACAGGAAUGUGCAUCAACCCCUAUGCAUAUAUUACCCCAAUGUCACCGCGGGAAUCCGCAAGUUGAGUGCCAAAACAUAUAUCAAGUGAAUCAACACGAUACCCCAUUGUAACCACGAGUAUUCAAUUGCAAGACAUAUAUCAAGUGUUCUCAAAUCCAUAAAAGUAUUCAAUCCGAUAACCACGAAAUAUCAAAGGGAAAAACUCAAUUCAUCACAACAAGAUAGAGAGGGGAAAACACCAUAUGAUCCGACUAUAUUAACAAAGCCCGCGAUACAUCAAGAUCGUGACAUCUCAAGAACACGAGAGAGAGAGAGAGAGAGAGAGAGAGAGAGAGAGAUUAAACACGUAGCUACUGGUACAAACCCUCAGCCCUGAGGGUGGACUACUCCCUCCUCGUCGUGGUGGCUGCCGGGCUGAUGAAGAUGGCCACGAGAGAUGAUUCCCCCUCCGGCAGGGUGCCAGAAUGAGUCUAGAUUUGUUUUUGGUGGCUACGGAGCCCUGUGGCGGCGGGACUUCUGAUCUAGUUUAGCCCCGAGGGGUUUCAGAAUAUUUGGGAAUUUAUAGUGCAAAGAAGGGGUAUGGGAGGCCACCGAGGUGGGCACAACCCACCUGGGCGCGCUAGGUGGGCCUCGCGCCUUGGUGGGUUGUGCCCCCCUCGAGGCACCUCCUAGGUGCUGCUCUGGCCCAAGGGGUUCCUUCUAGUCAAUAAAAUAUCCACAAAAAGUUUCGCGGUGUUUAGACUCCGUUUGAUAUUGAUUUUCUGGGAUGUAAAAAACAAGCAAAAAACAACAACUGGCACUGGGCACUGGAUCAAUAGGUUAGUCCCAAAAAAUAUAUAUAAAGUUGCUAUAAAAUGAUUGUAAAACAUCCAAGAAUGAUAAUAUAUUGGCAUGAAUACUUCAUAAAUUAUAGAUAUGUUGGAGACGUAUCAGCAUCCCCAAGCUUAAUUCCUACUCGUCCUUGAGUAGGUAAAUGAUAAAAUAAAUAAUUUAUGAAGUGUGAAUGCUAGCAAAGUGCACAAGUUUGAUCAAUGAUAAUUCAAUCACUUUCCCUAGCAUCAUAACAACAAUUAUUUCUUAUGAAAAUUCUCAUGUUAUAGUGGCAACCUGUAACAUCCCAAUUUUCAAUUUGGAUGUUAUACCUAGGUCAUCAUAUGCAUAUUAUAUUUUCUUUUGCAUUUGGUUGUGAUCCUAGAAAUCUUAAGCAACUCAAGGACCCAAGGAGAGAGUUGAAGGUUUCGCUAAAAUUUCAUAUUUGAAUAAAGGAUCAAUUUGAUUUUAAUAUUUUCCCUCCAAUUAUUUUCAAAAACAAAAAUAAAUGAGAGAAGAUAAUAUGACUUCUUCAACAAGAGAGAAAUAUUGGAGGAGAAAUUUUAAAAUCAAAUUCUAUUUUAUUUGCUAUUUUAUUUGAAUUAGAAAAAAACAUAUGCAUUUUUAGGUCAGAAAAAUGUUCAUCUUGUCCUAAAUAUUAGGUUUGGACGGUGAUUUUUUUUGAUAUUUUUUAGAUUUUUUUAUAUUUUAUUAGGAUUUUUAUUUCGGACUUUUUUUUAAAAUCUUUUCGGACCGAUCGGGCCGAAGGCCGAGCCACCGCCUUCCCCGCACGCCCGCGCCGCCGUGGCCGAGCCGGAGUCCAACUUUGACUCCGCCGGCCACCGUUGCCCCCUCACCAAGCCACCGCCCCGACCCUUUGUAAGCUGAGCCCCCCUCUCUUUCUCACCACCGCCGCCCGCCGCCUCCCGUCGCAGCAGCCUCAGCCGGAGCCGCCGCCGCAGCCGCUAGCCGUCACUGCCGUUCGUCGCCGUCACCGCAGCCGCCUCCCCACACUGCUAACCGCCGCCUCAUCGGAGCCAUGCCGGAUCUCACGUUGACCUCGCCGUCAAUAUUCUACGGUUAACCGGUAAAAUUCGUUUGAUUUUCUUUUGCUUUUUUCGGUUUGGAUUAGAUUGGUUUUUUACUUACUAGGUUAAUUAGCAAACGUUCACCGGUUAGAUCGUUUUAAUGAACAAUUUUCGUUCGUUAGUUCCUGUUAGCGAACGUUCAUUCAUUAGGUUUUUCUUUUUAUUUUAAUUUUCGGCCAGGGACCUAUCCGUGAAUACUUUUAUCAUAGAUUUGUCCCUAAACUUCAAACCCUCGUUCUUUUUUGCUUGUUUGUCCAAAUCCAGUGAAACCAACGCCAAAAUCUUCGUCUUGUUUCCCUCUUUCCAGAUAAUCAACUUAAACAUGGUUUUGACAAUUUAACAUUUGCUUUCAAGAAGAUUUGAAUUCGAACUUCUCUUGAUUGUAGUUUGAGUUUCGUAACUCCGUUUUGAUUGAUUCUUUUUGCAAAUCGAAGGUCUUUACUUAUAUUGCUACGCUAUGCUCGUAGACGUGGAUUGGUUUGAGAGAAUUCAUGAAGAUGUGAGAGUUAUUAUUAAUUAAUAGUUAACUUAAGGUGGAAACUUUAAUACACAUCUGGGUGGAUUGGUUGGGGCACCCUGGAGCACCCAGUGGUUGUCCGGACACUUGGAACAAUCCAGUGUUGUCCUAGGAUAUCCUGGAGUACCCGUGUGAUCAUCCUAUGGUUUGCCACCCAGGCUCAAAGGGAUCAUAAGAUUAUUCAUGCUAGAAACUUCUGUGUGCAGCCACAAGCCAUUAUGGGCUCUGGCAUAGUUGAGUAAGUUGCGGGAAACCUUUCCAUGAUGGGCUAGCAGAUGUAGGGGAUUGUAGGUGUACCGGCCUAUCUAUCGGUUAAGGGGACCUCUUCGAAAACACUGUGUCUCGGUCAUCCAUUUCUCAAACACCAUGCAGUGUAGGAAAUACAACGGAGGAGAUCGAGUCUUGUGGGGAAAAGUGCGCAAACCUCUGCAGAGUGUACAAACUAAUCAUGGUUAGCCGUGUCCCCGGUUAUGGACAUCUUGAGUAUCUGGUACUUGAAUUAUUGAUUUGAUCUCAUCACUUUACUUAAUUAAUUUGUUGGGUUUUAACUACUAUUUUGGGAUUGAGUUGGAGGAACCUUCUCAAUGUUUCAACAAACUUUGUAGUUAAAUAAAAUAUAUUCCUUUGUUGUAGGGAAAAACUAGCUUUAUGCAAAUGAUAACCAUAUAGCCUCGACCAGCCAUAUAUGCAUGUAGUGAUAGCUGUUAUUUGUUCAUUGCUCUAUAGUGUUAUUUUGCCAGCAUAUUCCAUGUGCUGACCUACACAGGCUGCAACAUAUUAUGUUGCAGAGUUUUUAGACGAAGAGUAAGGUGCGCUAGGUCGUUGUCAUGCACUCAGUUUUGCCAUGGAGUUGGAUGGACUCUACUACCUUCGAAGCUUCCGCUGUUAUCUUAUUUAGAUGGCCUUCAGCCAUAUUAUUGUAAUAAGUUCUCUUUUGAGACAUUCAAUGUAAUAAGUGUGUGAUUGAACUCUGUUAUAAAUCCUCGAGUACUGUGUGUGUCAGCAAUACCGAUCCAGGGAUGACACUUAAGCACAGAGACUUGACCGUCUGAGGUCGGGUUGCUACACAACCAAUUCACAUGUUAAGGUUCAAACAAUGAAUUCUCUUGAAACUCAACAACCUAUGUUCUUAGUCACCAAGCAAUUGCAAUUCAACUUAUGCAACGGAGUUUAAGUAAGAGCUCCACAUACUCAACCAUCAUGUAGUCUUCUAUGAUUGCUAACACUCACCUUGUACACAUGAGCAAAACGUUUCAACCGGACACAUAGAAAUAUAGAGGCUUAUAAUUUCGCCUCCCAAUGUAUUCACCUCAAGGGUGAUGUCAACAAUAAUAACUCAUGCUACCCAUAUUCAACUGGACAUAUGUGCCUAGAUCUUUCCUCACCACAUGAUUCUUGACAAAAGAGAAAAAUAAAAAGGAAUAGAGAGAAAAAUCUUGACUCUUGCAUAAAAGUAAAUACAUAAAAGUAAAAGAUAGGCCCUUUGCAGAGGAAAGUAGGGAUUUGUAGAGGUGCCAGAGCUCAAAGCGAAAAUUGAGAGAUAAAAACAUUUUGAGAGGCAUACUUUUCCCACCAAUGAAAAUGACUUAGAGCUCCCAACACUUUCCAUGCUAGAUAUAUCAUAGGCGGUUCCCAAAUAAAAAAUAAAGUUUAUUCCUUUUUCCACCAUACUUUCACUUUCCAUGGCUAACCGUAUCCAUGGGUGCCCUUCAUACUAACACUUUCCAAGGAAUUUAUUAUUUGACAACAUAAAGUAAAUUCAUUUUUCAUUUUGGGACUGGACAUCCCUAAUACCUUUGCCUUACUCUCGUGCAAUGACAAGUGAAUAAACACUCAUCGUGAGAAUAACACAUCUAGCAUGGAAAAUAUUGGCCACCGUCACCGCUUCACGAGCGGUACAAGCACAUAAAAGAGAAAUUUAUUUUGAAAAUUAGAGAUGGCACAUACAAAUUUGCUUAGAAGGGCAAAAGAAUACUGCAUAUAGGUAGGUAUGGCGGACUCUUGAAAAUAAGAUUUGGGUUUAAGGGUUUUUGGAUGCACAAGUAGUAUUUCUACUUGGUGCGGAAUUUUUGGCUAGCAAAGAUGGGGGGCAAGAUCACAUGUUGAAGGAUCUAUGACAAUAUAACUUCUAUGUGAAUAUGAACAAACAUAAACCAUUACGUUGUCUUCCUUGUCCAAUGUCAACAAUUUUGGCAUAUAAUAUUUUGAUGGGGGCUCACAAUCACAAAAUAUUUCCAUGAUAGUGUAUUUGCAUGUGAAAGUUCUCUUCCUUAUACUAAUUAUUCGUGAAUUGCUUGUAUGACCAAUAUUGUGAUUGUCAAGCCUCAAAAGAUUUCACUUUCUAAACCCAAUGUGAAGUUACCACUAGGCAUGAUAUAAUUUCAACUUCAUGACAUUCAAUUCAUUCAACAAUUUACUCAUAGGAUAUAAGUGAAGCACAAGAGUAAAUGACAUAGAAAAGAGCUUCGUUGACGGGAUGUGAAUGCCGCUUACUUAGCCUCCCUGGCAACUAUUUGAUGACUCUAUUUUAUUUAAAGACUUUAAUAUCUAAGUACUUUAAUAAAAAACAAGCAAAAAUAAAAUAAAAUGACAAUCCAAGGAUGGCAAACAUCAUGUGAAGAAGCAAAAACUUAGGCUCAACCAAUACUAACCGAUAAUUGUUGAAGAGGAAAGGUGGGAUGCCUAUCGGGGCAUCCCCAAGCUUAGAUGCUUGAGAACUCUUGAAAUAUUAUCUUGGGGUGCCUUGGGCAUCCCCAAGCUUGAGCUUUUGUGUCUCCUUAAUUCCUAUCAUAUCACGGUUUUCCUAAAUCUCAAAAGCUUCAUCCACACAAAACUCAACAAGAACUCGUGAGAUAAGUUAGUAUAAACCAAUGCAAAAACCUUAUCAUUCUCUACUAUAUAAAAUCACUAAAAUUAUUAUUCAACAUUGCAUACUAAAUGCCUCUGCAUAUUUAAUACUCCUAUCCUUAAAUAGAAUAAUUAAACAAGCAAACAUAUGCAAACAUAACAUCAAUCUGCCAAAAUAGUACAGUCUAUAAAGAAUACAAGAGCAUCAAAACUUAUUAAACUCCAAACAUUAUGAAAAAUUACCACACUGUAGAAAAUUUAUCAGAGCUCAUUUUGCAAAAAGUUCAAACAUUUUAUAACAUUCUUACUUUUCUAGGGAAUUUUUGCAACAGCGGUAAACUUUCUGUUUUCAAACAGCAACAUGUAUACUUGCAAAAUAAGCAUGGCAAAGGCUAUCAUUGCCACGUUUAUUGAAAUACAAGAUGCAAAACAUUAUUCUAAAUAAUAGAAAGAAAAUACUAACAAAAUAAAAUGAUGCUCCAAGCAAAACACAUAUCAUGUGACGAAUGAAAACAUAGCUCCAAGUGAGGUUACCGAUAAUGUUGGAUACGAAAGAGGGGAUGCCUUCCGGGGCAUCCCCAAGCUUAGUUGCUUGGAUCUUCCUUGGGGUGCCUCGGGAAUACCCAAGCUUAGGGUCUUCUCACUCCUUAUUCUCCUCAUAUCGAUAUCUCACCCAAAACUUGGAAACUUCAAUCAGACAAAACUUAACGGAACUUUGUGAGAUAGGUUAGUGUGAUAAAGAGCAAACCAUUUCACUUUGGUACUAUCAAAGACAAGAUUCAUAAUUGUUUCCACACAAUGCAUAAUGUAUCAUAUCAUUUCCACAAUUUAUAUUGAGCAAUAUAAGCCGUGGAAACUAGAAAACAAGCAAACUAUGUAUUGAAAACAGAAUCUGUCAAAAAAAGAACAGUCUGUAGUAAUCUGUACUCAAACCAUACUUCUGCUACUCCAAAAAUUCUGAAAAAUUAAUAAAAACUAAGAAAUUUGUCUAUUAAUCUUCUUCAAAAAGAAUCAACAUUUUAUCACACUUAUGCUAAAAAUGAGAAUUCUUUUCCUGAGUGCAAAAGUUUCUGUUUUUCAGCAAGAUCAAAUCAACUAUCACCGUAAGCCAUCCCAAAGGUCUUACUUGGCACUUUAUUGAAACAAAAGUAAUAAAACAUGAUUACUACAGUAGCCUAAUCAUGUGAACACACAAAAAUAGUAGGUAAAAGUGUUGGUUGUCUCCCAACAAGCGCUUUUCUUUAAUGCCUUUUAUGCUAGGCAUGAUGAUUUCAAUGAUGCUCGCAUAAAAGAUAAGAAUUAAAACUUAAAGAGAGCAUCAUGAAGCAUAUGACUAGCACAUUUAAGUCUAACACACUUCCUAUGCAUAGGGAUUUUGUGAGUAAACAACUUAUGGGAACAAUAAUCAACUAGCAUAGGAAGGCAAAACAAGCAAAACUUGAAAAUUUUCAACACAUGGAGAGGAAACUUGAUAUUAUUGCAAUACCUACAAGCAUACAUUCCUCCCUCAUAAUAAUUUUCAGUAGAAUCAUGAAUGAAUUCAACAAUGUAACUCUCACAUAAAGCAUUCUUUUCAUGAUGCAUAAGCAAAGAAAUUUUGUUACUCUCCACAUAAGCAAAUUUCUUCUCAUCAAUAGUAGUGGGAGAAAACUCAACAAAAUAACUAUCAUGAGAGUGAAAAUUAAAAUCAUGAUGACAAGUUUCAUGGUUAUCAUUAUUCUUUAUAGCAUAAAUGUCAUCUCCAUAAUCAUCAUAGAUAGAAACUUUCUUCUCAUAAUCAAUUGGAACCUCUUCCGAAAUAGUGUAUUCAUCACUAAAUAAAGUCAUGACCUCUCCAAAUCCACUUUCAUAAUCAAGACAAUAAGAUUCAACACCCUCCAAAAUAGUGGGAUCAUUACUUCGUAAAGUUGACACUCUUCCAAACCCACUUUCAUCAAUAUAAUCAUCAUAAAUAGGAGGCAUGCUUUCAUCAUAAUAAAUUUGCACAUCAAAACUUGGGGGACAAAAAAUAUCAUCUUCAUCAAACAUAUCAUCCCCAAGCUUAUGGCUUUGCAUAUCAUUUGCAUCAUGGAUAUUCAAAGAAUUCAUACUAACAACAUUGCAAUCAUGCUCAUCAUUCAAAUAUUUUGUGCCAAACAUUUUAUUGACUUCUUCUUCUAACAAUUGAGCACAAUUUUCCGAAACAUCAUUUUCAAGAAAGAUAAAAUAAAGAUCAAUAAUAUGAUGCAACCUCAAUUCCAUUUUUAUGUAGUUUUGUUUUAUAAACCAAACUAGUGAUAAUACAAGAAACUAAAAGAUUCAAUUGCAAGAUCUAAAGAUAUACCUUCAAGUACUCACCUCCCCAGCAACGCCGCCAGAAAAGAGCUUGAUGUCUACUAUGCAACUUUAUUCUUAUAGACACAUGUUGGGCCUUGAUACGUCUCCAACGUAUCUAUAAUUUUUGAUUGUUCCAUGCCAUUAUAUUAUCAAACUUGGAUGUUUUAUAUGCUAUUUUAUAUGAUUUUUGGGACUAACCUAUUAACCUAGAGCCCAGUGCCAGUUUCUGUUUUUUUCCUUGUUUUAGAGUAUCGCAGAAAUGGAAAAUCAAACGGAGUCCAAUUGACCUGAAACUUCACGAAACUUAUUUUUGGACGAGAAGAAGCCCACGGAGUAUCGGAGAUGGACCAGGAGAGUCUCGGGCUGCCCACGAGGGUGGGGGGCACGCCCACCCUCUGCCCGCGCCCCCUGCCUCGUGGACAGCUCGGAGGUCCACCGACGUACUUCUUCCUCCCAUAUAUACCCAUAUACCCUAAAAACUUCAGGGAGCACAAUAGAUCGGGAGUUCCGCCACCAGAAGCCUCUGUAGCCACCGAAAGCCAAUCUAGACCCGUUCCGGCACCCUGCCGGAGGGGGAAUCCUUCUCCGAUGGCCAUCUUCAUCAUCCCGGUGCUCUCCAUGACAAGGAGGGAGUAGUUCUCCCUCGGGGCUAAGGGUAUGUACCAGUAGCUAUGUGUUUGAUCUCUCUCUCUCUCUCUCUCUCUCUCUCGUGUUCUUGAGGUGAUACGAUCUUGAUGUAUCGCGAGCUUUGCUAUUAUAGUUGGAUCUUAUGAUGUUUCUCCCCCUCUACUCUCUUGUAAUGGAUUGAGUUUUCCCUUUGAAGUUAUCUUAUUGGAUUGAGUCUUUAAGGAUUUGAGAACACUUGAUGUAUGUCUUGCGUGGGAUACCCGUGGUGACAAUGGGGUAUUCUAUUGAUGCACUUGAUGUAUGUUUUGGUGAUCAACUUGUGGGUUCCGUGACCUUGGGAAUCUAUGCAUAGGGGUUGGCACACGUUUUCGUCUUGACUCUCCGGUAGAAACUUUGGGGCAUUCUUUGAGGUUCUAUGUGUUGGUUGAAUAGAUGAAUCUGAGACUGUGUGAUGCAUAUCAUAUAAUCAUACCCACGGAUACUUGAGGUGACAUUGGAGUAUCUAGGUGACAUUAGGGUUUUGGUUGAUUUGUGUCUUAAGGUGUUAUUCUAGUACGAACUCUAGGGAUGUUUGUGACACUUAUAGGAAUAGCCCAAUGGAUUGAUUGGAAAGAAUAACUUUGAGGUGGUUUCGUACCCUACCAUAAUCUCUUCGUCUGUUCUCCGCUAUUAGUGACUUCGGAGUGACUCUUUGUUGCAUGUUGAGGGAUAGUUAUGUGAUCCAAUUAUGUUAUUAUUGUUGAGAGAACUUGCACUAGUGAAAGUAUGAACCCUAGGCCUUGUUUCCUAGAAUUGAAAUAACGUUAGUGCUCACUUUUAUCAUUAGUUACCUUGCUGUUUUUAUAUUUUCAGAUUACAAAAACCUUUAUCUACCAUCCAUAUACCACUUGUAUCACCAUCUCUUCACCGAACUAGUGCACUUAUACAAUUUACCAUUGUAUUGGGUGUGUUGGGGACACAAGAGACUCUUUGUUAUUUGGUUUCAGGGUUGCUUGAGAGAGACCAUCUUCAUCCUACGCCUCCUACGGAUUGGUAAACCUUAGGUCAUCCACUUGAGAGAAAUUUGCUACUGUCCUACAAACCUCUGCACUUGGAGGCCCAACAACGUCUACAAGAAGAAGGUUGUGUAGUAGACAUCAAGCUCUUUCUAGCGCCGUUGCCGGGGAGGUUAGCGCUUGAAGAUAUAUCUUUAGAUCUUGCAAUGGAAUCUUUUUGUUUCUUGUUUUAGCAUUAGUUUAGUUUAUAAAAGAAAACUAAAAAAAAA